rnacentral:lncRNA from 1 species
GGGCUUCAUCACCUCACCUCUCUUCAGGUAUUGGGUAUCGAGGGUUGCCAUAAGCUUGAGUCCAUAUCAGAGCAAGCGCUUCCCUCCUCCCUUGAAAACCUUGAUCUCAGAAAUCUAGAAUCUCUGGACUACAUGGGGCUUCAUCACCUCACAUCUCUUCAGAGAUUGUAUAUCGCGGGCUGCCCUAAGCUUGAGUCCAUAUCAGAGCUGGCGCUUCCCUCUUCCCUUAAAUACCUUUAUCUCAGAAAUCUAGAAUCUCUGGACUACAAGGGGCUUCAUCACCUCACCUCUCUUUACACAUUGAAGAUCAAGAGUUGCCCUAAAGUUGAGUUCAUAUCAGAACAGGUGCUGCCCUCCUCCCGUGAAUACCAGGGGCUUCAUCACCUUACUUCUCUUACAAAUUUGAGUAUCAAGAGUUACCCUAAACUUGAGUCCAUAUCAGAACGGGCGCUGCCCUCCUCCCUUGAAUACCUUCAUCUCUGUAAACUGGAAUCUCUGGACUACAUUGGGCUUCAGCACCUCACCUCUCUUCACAAAUUGAAGAUCGGGAGUUGUCCUAAACUUGAAUCGUUGCAGUGGCUGCCUUCCUCCCUUGAAUUCCUUCAGUUAUGGGAUCAGCAAGACCGGGACUACAAGGAGCUUCGGCACCUCACCUCUCUUCGCAAAAUGCAGAUAAGGAGGAGCCUUAAGCUUGAGUCCUUUCAAGAAGGCACACUUCCCUCCUCCCUUGAAGACCUUGAAAUCUGGGAUUUGGAAGAUCUGGAAUUUAAGGGGUUUCGGCACCUCACCUCUCUUCGUGAAUUACAUAUCUGUAGUUCUCCUAAGCUCGAGUCCGUGCCAGGAGAGAAGCUGCCCUCCUCCCUUGUAUCUCUUCAAAUAUCAGGUCUGAUAAAUCUGAAAUCUGUAAUGGGGCUUCAGCACCUCACCUCUCUUCGCAAAUUGAUUAUCUCGGAUUGUCCUCAGCUCGAGUCCGUGCCAAGAGAAUGGCUGCCCCUUUUCCGAUAUGAUGAUAUUAGACGUUGUCCUAAACUUAAUUUGGUUAUAGGAGACGGUCUCACUAUACCAUUUUCCUAGUUUUGUACCCGCGCUCCGCGGCCGAGCGGUUAUUUCUUUUAAGUAAACAAAAAUUAAUAAAUAGGUUUUACAACGCAUUCUUUAAUAUACAAUAUUUUUCUAUCAUAAAUAGAAAUGUCUAUAUAUAUAUUUAGUAAUUAGAUCAAUAGUUGAUAAAGAGAUAAUUAAGAAUAAAAUAUUUAAUCUUACAAUAUAAAUAAUUAAUAUAUUUAGUUAUGUUUAACAAUUAUAUUUUCUAAAGUUUUUUUUAUAUAUAAAACAAUUAUAUGUGCCAAUAAAAGGUUAAAAAAAAAUCAUAUCCAAUGUAAAAUGAAGAAAAUUAAAAAAAAAAUAUGUCAAACUGUAUAAAUAUGGUAACAUUGUGACAAUAGACACAUGAUUGAGAUAAUUUUAUAUAAAGAAAAAUGAAAUAAAAAGCACAAAUACCAAUUCUAAAAAAGUUAAAUGUUGAAGGAUGAAAUUGAAAAAACACAAGGAUAUUUGAUUUCGCAACAUGGUUCAUGCACUAAGCCGUGUUUAAUAGCUUUGUUUUUUAGAAUAUAUUUUUUAUUUAAUCAAACAAUUAUCUAUGCAAAUAAAAGAUAAAAAAAAAUCACAAAUAAAAGCAAAUUGAAUCAAAUCAUGAAGUCAAUUAUAAAAUAACUCAAUGUUGAAUGAUGAAAUUAAAAAAAUAAUAAUUAAGAAAAACAAAAAAAAUAUGGGUCAACCCUUAUUAAUCCGUUAACAUUGCGACCAUUGGUACAUAAUUGUGAUAAUCCCAUAAAAAAUAUGAAGACCAACUUUUAGAAAAAUUAAAUGUUGAAGGAUGAAAUUAAUAUAUAUAUAUAUAUAUAUAUAUAUAUAUAUAUUAAAAAAUGACUAAAAAAACUACUAGAGUCAACCCAUGUUAACAUUUGAAAUUUGUAAUUGUGAUCUUGAGACCAAGACUACUCACGCAUCAGUCAAACCCAAAAAAACAACAAAGUAAAUUUCUCAAUAAAAAAAUGUUGAGGCAUGAAAAUUUCAAUAAAAAAACAACAUGAAAAAAAUAUGAAUAAACCAGGGUUAACUCGCUAACCUCACGACCAUGGAAACAUGAUCAGGAUAACCCUAAUGAAAAGAAAGUGAUAAAGAAAAGCACAAAGAAUAACACUAAAAAAAAUAAAAGUUGAGGGGUGAAAUUAAAAAAACAAAAAAAACCAAAGUCAACCGUUGUUAACUUUCAAAACUCAUGAUUAUGCUGUUGGGACUGACCAUAUAAAAGGCAAACCCAAAACAAAACAAUAUAGCAAAAUUCUCAGUGAAAAAAAGUUGAGGCUUGAAACUCAGUAAAAAAAAGCAACAAAAAAUAUAUGAGUCAACCCAAGUCACCCAUUUGACUAUGGGCAUGUGAUUUAGAUAAUCUUAUGGAAAGGAAAGCAAAAAAAAAAAAACAAUAAAACCAAUUUUAUAAAAAUUAAAUAUUGAAGAAUAAAAUUAAAAAAAUUAAUUUUAUAAAAAAGACUUGAAGAAACCAAAAUCAACCCGUGCAAACCUUUAAAAGUCAUGAUUCAAUAAUAAUAAAAAAAAAGAAGCUAAGUGAUGAAAUCAUUAAAAAAACAAUAAAAAAAAAUUAUUCAAAACAUAAUAAACAUAAGUAAAAAAAGAAUAGAGAUCAAAUUCAACACUAAAAAAAUAAAAAUCAAAUAAUGAGAAAUAAAAUCAAAACAAUAUCUAAUUAGAUUAAGGAUUAAAAAGUGUCAAAAAAAAGUGUCAAAUUUGAUCUAAAAAUAAAAUAAAGUAAAAUAAUUAGAGAUAAAUAGUAAUAAAUACUAUUUUUAUAAAAUAAAAAGAAAAAAAUAAAAAAAAAAAUAAAAAUCAAAACACAAUAUAUAACAAAAAAAAAGUAAUAUAAAUGUUUAUGUCACAUAACAACCAUUGGUUCCAAACAAAACCUGAAAAUAAAAAAACAAGACACCUGCCGUCAUUAGGUCCGGAUUUGCCUGAAAGGCAGAACUGCACAUGCAUUUUCCAUAGCAUGCCAAAGCCAAAUCAAUCUUACCCAUAGCGAGAAUUAAAACAAAACAAAAUAGUAACAACACCAAAAACAUCCUUUAUUCAUUGUUAAAGGUCUUCUGAAAUAAGAUUGGUUUCAAUGGCAAGUGGAAAUCAUAAAGAGAGCAACGAAAGGACAAAAAUCGAUCAAAAAACCCUUACUGAAAGAAUAAACAACACACCUUCGCCUCGUGUGUUCUCCAUCAAUUUGUUCAAGAGAAAAAGGACAAGAACUGUAGUAUCACCACCUCCAUCCUCUCUCAGUAGCUUCUUCUUCUCCAAUGUGCAUACCUUUUUGGUUCUCACAUGCCUCCUCUCCCUCUUCUGAAUCAUGACUACAAUUGAAGAAAACAACUCUAAUCCCACCUAAGAACAAUGCUCUAAUAUCAAAUUUGAUACGAGACAAAAAAGAUUGAAGUUGAAGAAGAAAGAAAAGAAGAAGAAGCCCGAAAAAGAAGAAAAAGCUGAUCAAAUACUAAAACCAUAACUAGAAUAAAUAAUUAAGUUUAUAAUCCACUAAAUAAAAUACUAAAAAAUAAUUAAAUCAAAUCCAACAAAUAAUAUCUAAUUAAUAAAUUUCAACUAAAAGUUCAAAUAAAUAAAAUUAAAACAUAAGCUAAAGCUUAAUCGCUUAAUGAUUUGGACUACCCUCUAUCAUUUAUGAUUAUAUGAAUACAUGUUUCGAGUCAGUAUCCCCACAUUUUUUUUGUUUUUGGUGGAAACAAAAAGAGGUGCAUAUGUUUUUGUUAGGAAAAAAAUUUCUUGCCCUAAAAUAAGAAAAAAAAGUUGCACCUAGAGGUGAUCAUUUUCGGUUCGGUUCAGUUUUUAUCAAAAAAGUAACCAAAUGUACUACAUACUUUUUACCGAUCGAACCAAAUGUACUAUAUUAUCAGUAGUUGUAGCUACUUCUGAAACAGUUGGUGCGAUGGGUGCGAGUGAAGGUGCUGGCAUAGGAGCGGCAACACUAGUCAUACCUUCCACUACUGCUUUGAGUAGCUGGGCUAGGAGCAUCAAAUCAACAUAAGAAACAAAUGGCCUUCCAAGUGUAGUCUGUGGGGGCUCCUCUGCUCGUUCCGGUAGGGUUGACACGGUCGGCUGAACAUCCCCAGCUUGCCUCGGUACUUGUCUGACUUGAGGCCCCGUCGAUUCUUCAUGCCUUGCUUGCUUCGAUACUGCUGGUGCAUGUCAAGCAGUAUCUUCUAAAAGGCUCUCUUCUCGUCCCUCGUAAAAGUCUAUAUCUCUGUUCCCCUUCCCUAUAGAGGAUAGAUUUGUUCUAAUCUCUUGGCGAGUACGUACCAUCCUGCAAUAAAUUAAUAACAUCAUUACCCUUUGUUUCGAGUUUUUCCCAAAAUCCAUACGAGGGCUCUAAUACCAACUAUAACAAUCCCACCUUUUCAAUUUCGUCAACACUAAAAGAUCCCAAUAUAUACUCUUAAUUUGAGGGUAAAUUGUUUUUUUUCUUAUAUAUAUAUAUAUAUAUAUAUGAAAGUCUACCGAUAUUUUCACUGAAAUUUUGGCAAAGUUCCCUUUGUAUUUAGAACGUCCCAAGUUAUCGACUUCUUUCAAUUUACCCAUUCAAGCCAUCAAAACAAGGUCCCAUAAUUUUGAACUUUAUUUUACAUCAUUAAUACUCAACUCCUCAUACAAUUCAUGCACACAAUUUAUACACACACACACACACACACACACACCCUACGAAUAAGAUCAAUAUAAAUAUAGCCCAUAUAUCGUAUAAUAAAGUCUAGAAGAAAAAGGGAUACUAACAUGUAAUGAGAGAAUUUAAAACAUAACAUCAGUAUUCUUAAAAGUUUCAAAGGGUUAAAAACAAAGUAGCUAAGGAGUUCUUACUCAUACAUUAUAUCAAAGUUUACAUAAUUAACAUACUAUAUGCCGAGCCAAUAGUUUUGUAUACAUCAAGGUUUACACAAAAGCAUAUUGCGUAACCUAGCUAAUACUAUUAUGCUUGAGCUAAAUGUUUUUACAUAAGUUUAGCAAAGCAGAGUCCUAAAAACUAAUGAGCUCCCUGAGUAUUAGAUGGACCUGUUACAAUAACAACUUAAUAAGCAUACAAUUAUAUUGUCAACAGAAACAAAAAUGAUCAUAUAAUGAAUACAAAUAAAGCAUAAGUUUUCUAUUAGUUUCCCAAUAAUUUUAAUAAUCAACUUAUAAAUUCUUUCAUAUAUAUUUAAAAACUCAAUUAGACAUCAUUUACGUAUUCUUAAUUGAAUACUCUUAUUUUCUUGUAUGAACCUAGUACCUUUGCCUAAUUGGUUUUACUAAAUCUUUAACUUUGCAUAGUUCCACUUGGAUAGUUUAGGUAAUUAUACUUAUCAAUUCUCUCAGGUCAUCCAAACAUGGAUACCUUUUCCGAAUCGAGCCUUAUCGAUCAUUCCCAGGCAUCCUGACAUGGACGUCAUUAGCUGAAGCGAAUCUUGUAAUUCACUUCCCAGCAAUCCUAUCACGGAUGCCAUUAGCCUAAGAUAAUCUUGAGAUUCAUUUCCCGACAAUCCUAUUACGAAUGCAAUUAGCCGAAGCUAAUCUUGUAAUUCAUUUCCCGGUAAUCCUAUCAUGGAUGCUAUUAGCCGAAGCUAAUCUUGUUAAUACACCGGACUUUGUUUACAUUAAACAUAACUUAAUUGUCAUUGUCUUCAUCGGGAAGACUUUAAAUUACAUAAGAGUAAAGGAGAGGUAAAACCACGCACCUUCUCCGCCUGUCUCGUGACCUCCUUCAACAAAAGAUCCAAUCCUAGUCGCUCCGCCUAAAUCACAAAGAAGUCUUUGGUCAUGUUUCCUUUAAGCUAAAUGUUUAAGGAAAUCCAUAUUCAUUCAUUAUACAUAUGGUACUUUCCAUGCAUGUUCAUUUCCUCAUCAUAACAUACAUAUACAUAUCAAGUAUAUAUUUUCAAGGUUUUAUAUCAACGUGCAAGUGCCCCUACGACUAAGUUUGUUUUUGCAUCAACGUAAAUUAGUGACUUAUGACUCAUAACUGGAGUCUCAUAACUUUAAAUAAAGCAAACUUUGGUCAAUAAAAAGGUAACACAUUUAUCCAUAAUUUCAUUAAGGAUCAUGCAUGAAACUCUGUCAAUAUCAAAUCACAAACCAAAAAAGAAGUUAGACAGCAAAUUUGUCCAGCAGCUUCUAGCCUAACCUCCUCUCAGUAUUUUGCCUAUAUAUGGAGUUCUAUAACUCCUAAUAAAGUGAACUUUAUACCAAUUAAAAGGUAACACAUUUAUAUAUAACUACAUGGAGGAAAAUGCAUCAUACUCUAUCAAUAUAAAAUCCCAAACCGAACAAGAAGUUAGACAGCAAAUCUGUCCAGCAGCUUCCAGCCUAGCCUCCUCUAAGUAUUUUGCUUAUAUAUGGAGUUCUAUAACUCUAAAUAAAGUGAAAUUUAUGUCAAUUGAAAGGUAACACAUUUAUAAAUAUCCACAUGAAGGAAAAUGCAUGAUACUCUGUCAAUAUCAAAUCCCAAACUAAACAAGAAGUUAGACAGCAAAUCUAUCCAGCAGCUUCCAACCUAACCUUCUCUUAGUAUUUUGCUUGUAUAUGGAGUUUUAUAACUCUAAAUAAAGUGAAAUUUAUGUCAAUUGAAAGGUAAUACAUUUAUAGAUAUCCACAUAAAGGAAAAUGCAUGAUACUCUGUCAAUAUCAAAUCCCAAACUGAACAAGAAGUUAGACAACAAAUCUAUCCAGCAGCUUUCAGCCUAACCUCCACUUAGUAUUUUUCCUGUAUAUAGAGUUCUAUAACUCCAAAUAAAGUGAAAUUUAUGUCAAUUGAAAGGUAACACAUUUAUAGAUAUCCAUAUGAAGGAAAAUGCAUGAUACUCUAUCAAUAUCAAAUCCCAAACUGAACAAGAAGUUAGAUAGAAAAUCUAUCCAGCAGCUUCCAGCCUAACCUCCUUUUAGUAUUUUGCCUGUAUAUGGAGUUCUAUAACUCCAAAUAAAUGAAAUUUAUGUCAAUUGAAAGGUAAGACAUUUAUAGGUAUCCACAUGAAGGAAAAUACAUGAUACCAUGUCAAUAUCAAAUCCCAAACUGAACAAGAAGUUAGACAACAAAUCUAUCCAGUAGCUUCCAGCCUAACCUUGUCUUAGUAUUUUGCCUGUAUAUGGAGUUCUAUAACUCCAAAUAAAGUGAAAUUUAUGUCAAUUGAAAGGUAAUACGUUUAUAGAUAUCCACAUGAAGGAAAAUGCAUGAUACUUUGUCAAUAUCAAAUCCCAAACUGAAUAAAAAGUUAGAUAGAAAAUCUAUCCAGCAGCUUCCAGCCUAACCUCCUCUUAGUAUUUUGCCUGUAUAUGGAGUUCUAUAACUCCAAACAAAGUGAGAUUUAUGUCAAUUGAAAGGUAACACAUUUAUAGAUAUCCACAUGAAGGAAAAUUCAUGAUACUCUGUCAAUAUCAAAUCCCAAACCAAACAAGAAGUUAGACAACAAAUCUGUCCAGCAGCUUAACCUCCUCUCGGUAGUUUGCCUAUAUAUGGAGUUCUAUAAUUCCAAAUGAGGUAAGACCAGUGCCAAAAGUUAGCUAACUCAUUUAUCUACAACUUUCAUAUGUAAUGUUAUAACAAUUUCAAUCGACUUCUAUGCCUAACAUUAGCAUAAUUUCUAUACUUACAUAUUUGUAAUGGAAGUAACAUACAAACAUGUUUAAGUUUCUGUUUCAGCCCUUGAUUUAGCCUUAGGAUAACUAUGUAAGGUCAUAAUUAGCAGAGAUUAGUAUCAAAUUUCUAUUCUCUUUCUUUCUACUUUCAUGGUCGUCCCUAAAGAGGAUUUGUUCCACUAAUUUCUAUCAUUUUCUUUUGUCAUAGAAGCUGAAAAUGUUUAACUUCUCAUCUCAACCUUUUAAUUUCAUCAUUUGUUUUUUUUUUGUCAAAAUCAUGAAGUUCUAGGAACCCUAAAUUAUUUAUAUUGGGGUUUUUUCCCCCUUUGGAUUCAAAACAAAUCAAAUUAACAAUAGAAUAGCAAGGGCUUAUCCUUACCUCACGAUUUUAUCUAAAGAUGGAAGGUGUUUUCUUGAUGGUUUUCUUCUUCUCCUCUUUAUCACUGUUUCAGCCGGCCCUUGUGCCCUCCAAACCUCAAGAUUUUAUGGAUCUACACUUCCUAAUUACUCUCCUCUCUCACGUAGGUUCAUGCAAGGUGUUUUGGGUGAGAAAUGUGUGCAAUAAAAGGGAGCCAAUCUUCUCUCUUCAACUUGUUCUAAUUGAAAGUGAGAGGAAAGGUCAGGAAUUCUUUUUUUUUUUUUAAUGUAUUUAUACUCCCUUAUAUAUGCCUUAGGUCUUGUUUGGUAGUUUGGUCAAAUUUGUUCCUAACAUUACUUUUCUCCUUGUUGUGUGCUUUAGUUCUUCAUUUCACAAUUUGUUUAACAUCUCUCCCUCAUCCUUCCCUUCACACAUUUUAAUCCUUAGACAUUUGUUAGUUUUUAUACCCAUAUUUUUGUAAAAUAUUUGACUUCGUAAUUUAUUUUCUUAUUUUGAAUUCACCCUAUAAGUAUUGAAACAUUUUUAUUUUCUAAAAAUUUCAACUUGGGGUUUACAUAACCUUUAAGAAGAAGUGAAAAGAAAAGGUUGAAGCAGACAUCAUGAUUAUCCAAAAUGCAAUAUUUGAUCCCUGGUCCCAACAACAAAUCCAUAGUUAUCACAAAGAUCUAGUCCAUUUCUUUUGCCUUCCUUCUCUUACUUUUCUAGCUAUUUUUUCCUACUUUCUACUAUCCAUUCUAGAGCUUCAGAUUCUUAUAUUGUACAUAGAAUUUGAGUCUAGUUUUUUAACAGUUCAUAAACCUCGAUCCAUCAUACAAUUUCUCAAGAUGAUGCUGUUAUAAUUUAAAAAAACUAUUUAUAGAAGAUUUAUCUUCAAGGACAAGAGUUGAAUCCUUAAUAGCACAUUUAUACUCCCUACUUUUCAUCUAAAUUUCUUUAACAAGUAAGUCAUAUUUACUUUGUCAUUAUAUUUAUGUCAUCUAGAUUAAUACUAGUUAGAUGGUCUGCGCUAUACCGUGAGCCAACGUUUUAUUUUCAUAAAAAAUAUCAAAAAAAUAUAAGACCCAAGAGCGUUGAGUCUAACUGUAACACUGGAUCUAAAAGCAUUGAGUCUGACUGUAACACUAGAUCUAAAAGUAUUGAGUCUGGUUGCAACACCAAACUCAACAAUAAUAUUUAUAAUAUAAAUAAUAAUAUUUAACUUGUCUGCCUAUAUUGUUAUAUUUUUAAAUCUUUAAAAAAAAAUUAUGAUUUUUCUUCAAUAGUAAUAAUAGUAUUAUUUUAAAUUUAUUAAUAAUAAUGAUAAUAAUAAUAAUAAUAAUUUUUAAUUUUACCUUUUAAAUCAAAUCUAUGGUGGUUUUUCAAUAUUGAUAAUAAUGUUUUUCAAAUUUAUUAAUAAUAUUAAUUAUAAUAAAAAUAAUAACAUUUAUAAUACAAAUAAUAAUAUUUUUAAUAUUAAUACUAUUAAUUAUAAUAAAAAUAAUAAUAUUUAUAACACAAAUAAUAAUAUUUUUAUAAUAAUAUUUUUAAGUAUAAUAAAAAUAACAAUAUUUAUAACACAAAUAAUAAUAUUUAGAAACCUAAAACACAUUAGUGUUGGAACUUGACGCCGGACCCAAGAGAAUUAGAUCCUAACACAGGUCUUAGGAGAAUUGGGUUCUAAAACAAGACCCAUUACCCUUGGAUCCUGAUGCUGGCCCCAAGAGAAUUGGGUUGUAAUGCAAGUGAGUUGGGUCCUAACGCAUGACCCAUCAGCCUUGAGUUUUGAAGCCGAACCCAAGAUAAUUGGGUCCUGAUGCAAUUCCCAAGAGAGUUAGGUCCUGACGUCGGACUGAAGAGAAUUAAGUCCUGACGCAGGACCCACUACUUAUGGGUCCAAACGCUGGAUCCAAGUGUAAACCCCAAUUGAAAAUUAGUCUGAAAAGCAAUUUAAAUGCUUAUAGAAUAGAUUUAUCAGAAGUACCAAAUAAGCAUUAGAACAAACCAUGUAAAAUAAAAAACAGAAAAGUGAAUAAAAUAUUACUAAGAGUGAAUUACCUAGAAAUAAAAUUAUCAAUAUGUAACUAAAUGAAAAUCGAAUUCACCCGGAUAAAAAGUUUAUACAGAGAAAUACUAGGAUCCAAGAAUUUUAUCUCAUGAACAAGAAAUUUACUAUUUAGGAUAUAGAGGGAAUUUGGUAAAAAGUUUAUAUAUAUAUAUAUAUAAGUGUGCAUGUGUGUGGGCAAGAAGAAAAAAGAGAGAAAAAGAAAUAGAGAGAAAUAGGGGAAACUAUCAUUUACAUGUGAGAGAGAAAACAAAAUGAUAAAAACAUAAAAUCUUAAGAGGAGAUCUUGAGGGAACAUUAACCAAACUUAGUGAGCAUUAAUUGGAAGGAAGAAAAACCUAGAAAAAAAGGAGGGAAGUUCAACCAAGAUUAAAGAAAAGAGGAGUUGGAAGCUUGAAUUGGGUAGUGUUUAGAGUCUUAUUAUUUGCUUGGUAGGGCAUUCUAAAGACUUUUAAUUUGAUUUUUAAUGGCUUAAAGUCUUUAAUUGAUUGAAUUUUUGAAAUUUGGAAAGUUAGGGUUCUUGAAUGAAUUUGGAAGAAAUAAAACUUUACUGUAAAUUAUCAUGGGGAAUAAUGUGAAAGUUAGAGUAAAGUAAUUAAAUUAUUGUAGUUGAAGUAAAAAAUUUUGAUAAUUAAAUAGGGCUAGUGGUUAACCAAUGAUGAGAGUUUUUCAAUCUUAUUUUAUGCUACUCUGUUAGUGCUUUAUACUCCAUGAUGUGAAUUGAUGAACAAUGUAGGCAAUAGAACUAUUUUUUUGAAUAUCUCUUUACAACUUCUUAAAUUUCAUGGAGAUGUCUGAUGAGGAAUAUAGUUGAUUGUUGGUCCUUAUUAGAUUUUGUAUGUAAUGGAGUUAUGAGACGUUAAUAAUUCAUUAGAGAUGUUAAUUUGAUGGCUAAAAUCCAUGAAAUUCAACGGGACUAUUACAAAAGGUGAGAUAUUUAAGACAGUAACAAAUCAAACAUUAACAGUUGAGGUUUAAGACAGUAACAGAUCAAAUAGUAACGGUUGAGGUCUAAGACAGUAACAGAUCAAAUAGUAAUAGUUGAGGUCUAAAACAGUAACAGAUCAAACAUUAACAGUUGAGGUCUAAGACAGUAACAGAUCAAAUAGUAAUAGUUGAGAUCUAAAACAGUAACAGAUCAAGCAAUAACAGUUGAGGUGUAAGACAGUAACAGAUCAAGUAGUAAUGGUUGAGGUCUAAGACAGUAACAGAUCAAACAUAUAUAUAUAUAUAUAUAUAUAUAUAUAUAUAUAUAUAUAUAUAUAUAUAUAUGAGAACUGAGUUGUGUGGACACUUGCACGUUGAGAUACUGACUCUGAAAAUAUAUAUGAUAUGUGUAUAUAUGUUAUGAUGAAGAAAUAAACAUGCAUAAAAAGUAACAUAUGUGUAAUGAAUGAAUAUGGAUUCAGGAGGAGUGACCAUGAUUGGAUCUUCUGUUGGGGGAGGUCACGAGACAGGCGAAGCAGGUGCGUGAUUUUCCCUCCUCUUUGCACUUAUGCAAUUUAAAUAUAUUUUUUUGGUGAAUGCAAUUACAAUAAAUGUCAUGUUCAAUGUAAAUAAAAUCUAGCAUAUUUACAAAAUUAGCUUCGGCUAAUAGCAUCUGUGAUAGAAUUGCUAGGAGAUGAACUACAAGAUUAACUUUGACUAAUGUUGUCCGCGUUGGGACGCCCGAGAACGAUUGAUAAGACUCGAUUUGUAAAGGGUAUCCGUGUUUGAAUGAUCUAGGGGAAAUUGAUAAAUAUAAUUGCCUAAAAAUGUCUAAGUUGGACUAUACAAAGUCACCCGGUUCAUGCAAGUAAAUAAGAGUAUUUAAAUUAAGGAUAUGCAAAUGAGUUUUAAUUGGGUUUAAAUGAUUUACAAGCAAAUUAUAAGUUGAUUGUUAGAAUUCCUAUGGAUUCGAUAGAAAAUUUAUACUUCAUUCGUAUACAUUACAUGAUCAUAUAUAUUUCUUUUAUCAACAUAAUGGUAUGCUUACUUAGUUGUUUGUGUAACAUGUCCAUCAACUGUCCAGGGAGAUCAUUAGUUUGGGACUCCACUUUGUUAAGCUUAUGUAAAUAUUUAACUUAAGCAUAAGGGAAUUAACAUGAUUAUACAAUAUGUUUUUGUGUAAAUCUUGAUGUAUAUAUAAAAGUCUUAGCUCAACAUAUAGUACAUUAGUUAUCUUGUAAUUAACUCUUUUGAAAUGUUUAAAAAUACUUAUUAUAUUUUAAAUUUUCUCUUUACAUGUUAGUAUCCCUUUUUCCUUUUAAAUAUUAUAAUAUGAUUUGUGGGAUAUAUAUAUAUAUAUAUAUAUAUAUAUAUAUAUAUAUAUAUAUAUAUAUAUAUAUAUAUAUAUUGUGUGGAUUGUAUGAGGUGUUGAAUAUUGAUGAUUGAAAUAAAGUCUGAAAUUAUAGGACCUUAUGAUGAUGGGUUGAUUGAGUAAAUUGAUAGUAGUCGAUAACUUGGGAUAUCCUAAAUACAAACGAAACUCUACCAAAAUUUUGGUAGAAAUCUUUACAAAAACAAUUACCCUCAAAUUAAGAGCAUAUGAUGGGGUCUUUUAGCGUUGAUCAAAUUGUACAGUUGAGUCUGUUACAGUUGGUAUUAGAGCCCUGGUAUGGAUUCUAGGAAGAAUUCAAAAGAGGUUAUUGAUGUUUGUUAAUUUAUUGCAGGAUGGUACGUACCCACCAAGAGAUUAGAUCAGAUCUAUCUUCAACAGGGAGGGGGAAUAAAGAUAUAGACUUUUACGUUGGGCAAGAAGAGAACCUUUUGAAAGAUACUGCUUCACAUGCACCAGCAGUAUCGACUAAAGCAGGGCAUGAAGAAUCGAUGGGGCCUCAAGUCCGACAGGCACCAAGACAAAGGACCCAUUAGCCUUGGAUCCUAAUGCCGAACUUAAGAGAAUUAGGUUCUGAUAGAGGACCCAUUACAUUUGGGUCCUAACGUCAGAUCCAAGAAAAUUGAGUGUUGACGCAAGACCCAUUAGCUUUGGAUCUUGACACUGAACCAAAGAGAAUUGAGUUCUGACACGGGACCCAUUAGCUUAUGGUUCUAAUGCAGGACUCAAGAGAGUUUGAUCCUAACACCAAAUCCAAGAGAAUUGGGUGUUAACGCCGAAUCCAAGAGAAUUGGGUUAUGACACAGGACUCAUUAGCUUGGGUCUGGACACGGAUACAUUACCAAUGGGUCUAGACGCCGGACACAACAACCUUUGGUACGAUACGAACCCCAGAGUGGGCUAGAUAGGGCUGCAAGACCCAAGUGAUUUGGGUCUGCUCUUUUGCCAAACCCAAGUAACUUGGGUGAGGCACCCCUUUCCAGCCCCAGGAUUUUUAGGUCUGGAAAGGGAUGCCUAACCCAAGUUAAUAACAAUAAUAUUAUAUUUUACCUUUAAAAUCAAAUUUAUGUUUUUUUAUAGUAAUAAUAUUUAUUUUAAUUUUAAUAAUAUUAAUUAAUUGAAUAAUAUUUAUAAUAAUAUUUAACUUAUCUGUCAAAGUUCUUAUAUUUUUUAAUCUCUUAAAAAAAACAUUAUAGUUUUUUUUCGAUGAUAAUAAUAUUUUUUUAAAAUUUACUAAUGAUAACAACAACAACAACAAUAAUAUUUAAUUUUACAUUUUAAAUCAAAUCUAUUAUUAUUUUUUAAUAAUAGUUUUUAUAAAUUUAUUAAUUAUUAUAUUAAUAAUAAUCAAAAUAAUAAGAUGUUAUGUGGGAGGGUCUGCACCCAUCACGGUUCUGGAGACCCAGGUAAUAUCACAUUAAUAGUGAAAGAUCUACUCAACCAUGAUUUUAAAAGUUUUCCUUGACGAACAUGCGACGUUUUUUAGCCAAGAAAAUACGAUGUCGUAGGGCAAUCUUUAAAAAUUAUUUUUAUUUAAUUCUGUGGUAAUUAAGAUAAAUACGUGUAGGAAUUCUGAUAAUUUAAAUUAUGGAGAAUAAACUUAUUCAUUGUUCAAUAAACACUGUGAUUUGUGAGUGUAUGCACAGUGUUGUUUUAUGUACAGAAAGAAAAGGGAGCCAUGUUUUAGUUUAUAGUGUUAGUGUUACUAUUUCAUGAGAAGCUAAUCCUGUAUUAGUUUUUGGUAGUUCAGAAAUUAAUGUGAUUUACUUAGCUAAUCCAGUUCCCAUGAGAAGCAAAAGAUCCUGUAUAAAGUUUUCUAUAAUGACAUUUUGUAUUUAAUUUUUUUGUUUUAAAAGAAGUUAAAUUUUUAUAAUUUUUUUCAAAAUAAUUUUUUAUUUUUUUAUAUUAUUUGAAUAUGCUGAUUUUAAAACUAAAUUCUAAAUAAUAAUAAAAAAUUAUUUAAAUAUAUUUUUAAAAAACAACUGAAUUUUUGCAGAAAACCCAGCUAUAAAUUAACAUCUUUAGCCCGUGACGGUAACCGGCAGUUCUACCCAUGACGGUGGCGGUGAGUCCUCCCAAUUGUACAUGUCGGAUCCUUCUUGCCCGGGACGGUGAUGGGCAAUCCCGCCUGUCAUUUCAGUGUGGCCCCAGGUGAAAUGAUUUUAAAAUAUAAAAAAAUUAGCUUUUAAUAAUUAAAUAAUUUUAAUUUAAAUUGAGGAAAAAAGACUUCUUAACAAAAUAAAACUUACGAUAUUACAGUAACAAACAUGCUAAAAAACAUCUUCUUUUUCAAAGCAUGCAACUACAGGACCAGCCAUAUUAAGCUGCUUGUGAUAUUACUCCUCAUACAACCAAAUCAAUCCAUAACCUACGAGAUUUAUUGCAACUCUUGCUUACUUUUCAAUUCCAUAACCUAUGCUUGCUUUCAAAUAUAUAUAUAUACUAACUUUGAACGACAAACAUGUUUGUAAAUUAAGAGUGAAAGGAAAGUUGAAAAUCACAGGGAGAGCCUUAUAUAUAUAUAUAUAUAUUACUCCUCAUAGAAUUUCAUGAAGCAUUGAGGUUCUGGGCGAGAAGUUGACCACUCCUGAUAUUCUGGGCUUCUUCAAAAGCCACAAGCUCAAUGAUCGAUGGUCUUCUGGGAAAGUUGAAAGAAACACUGAAUACCCUCAACGGACUUCUCGACGACGCGGAGGAGAAGUAGAUUACCAAGCCUGCUGUGCAGAAGUGGCUUAAUGAUGCUAGACAUGCUGUGUAUGAAGCUGAGGACUUAAUGGAGGUGAUUGAAUAUCAACAUCUACGAUCCAAGGAUAUUAAAGCUGCCUCUCGACGAGUUAGGAAUCGGGUAAGCAUAUGGUUUUGCUCUUGUAGACCUUGCUUUCUCGUAUAAUGUUAUUAUCGAUCCCUCUGAUUUUUACAAGCACAAUUCGAAAUUGUAAGAUAUCAGAAAAUUUCAUAUCUUUUCUUGAAAUAUUUCAUGCAAACAACACCCCUCAAUUAUGCUAAUUUAUCUCAUGCAACCAAUCCUAUGAUACUAUCCUGCAACCACUACUCAUUAUUAUUCCAACAAAUUCCAACCACUUUUUAAUAGCCCAGCCUGGCCAAGCUGUCAACUUAAUUAAAACAUGUUCAAUCUAGAAUUUGAAUUAAAUUGUUUUUUUUAAAACAAAAAUCAAAGUUGACCCAUUAAUUUUUAAAAAAACAUUAGCACUAAAUGUUAAAUAUUGGUGUCAUAACACCUUUGAAAAAAAAAUUAGUGGAAUAGCUUAUUUUCACAUUUUUAAUAGCAAUAUUUAGUAAAUAUUAUUUUUUUGAAGUGCAACAAAGUGAAAGUCCAAUUAUUUGACUUAAUUAGUUAGUUGAUUGAAUUUAAUUGUAUUAACUAGUCGAUUAUUUCACAUAAAAACCAUAAUUUUAUGAAUUUUUUCUUUCAAAUAUAAAUUAUGAGUCAAAAUAUACAUGUGUCUAACAUCUAGACUAAAAAAUAGAUUUCAAUUAAAGUUUUAAAAAAAUUAUUAUUUACAUAGUAGUUGUUAUCUAUUUUUCAAUGUCAAUUAAUGAUGUAGAAAAGCUUGUGACAGUAAGUGAUUCUAAGUUGUCAGAUGUUUGUUUAUCAUAACUAUAUAAGGAUUGUCCUAAAUAAAUUAAAUGUAUGACCUAACAAAUAUAUUUAUAGACCAAUAAAAUAGUUUGAAGCUUAAGAGGAGAUUUGAUCCCACAAAGCCAGAAUAAUAAGAAAAAAAACCAUAAUUUUUUAUUUGACUAUUGAAUUGCACUCAAAUUUUUAUAGGAGUUUUUAAAAACCACAUUCUCUAUUGUAGUCACUGCAUUGCUAUGUAGACUGUUAAAUCUUUAGAUAUAAAAAAUCUCGUCAAAACCCCUUGAUUUUGGUAUUUUUAAGAUUUUUAUUAUUAUUUUCGGAAUUAAUUGACUAAUUUCAUUAACUAUUAUGAACAAGUCAAUUAAUUAAGUCAAAUGAUUAAAAUUUUACCUUAUCAGAACCUUAUUAGAAACAUAACAUUUAUUAAAUGUCACUAUUCGAAAAAACGACAAUUAUUUUGUGAUGCUUAGGAAUAGUAACAUUUAAUAAAGUUUCCAUUUCUAAAUCCAGCUAGUAGAAGGAUGAAAGAGAUGGGAGCAGAGUUACAAAAGAUCCAUGAGAAGCUUGAACGUUUUACUUAUACACAAGGGUGAUCUGCGCCAUAUAGAAGUUACUGGUGGACGCAGACCAUUGUCAGAGAAAACAACUCCACUGGUUAAUGAAUCUAAUGUAUAUGGAAGGGACGCUGAUAAGGAAGCCAUAAUGGAGCACUUGUUGACACAACACACCACAGAUGGCUCAAAUUUACGUGCGGUCCCUAUUGUGGGCAUGGGCGGGAUUGGUAAAACCACUCUUGCUCUGCUUAUCUACAAAGACGAAAGGGUACAGCAACGCUUCCAACUCAAGGCCUGGGUCUGGGCUUCUCAACAAUUUGAUGUUGCCAGGAUUAUUAAGGAUAUUCUUGAUCAACGCAAGAACUUGCCGCACCAAAGAACCAGAUGAAUCUCUAAUGGAGGCAGCGAAAGGGAAAAAACUUCUUCUUGUUCUAGAUGACGCGUGGAACAUCGAGUACAAUGAAUGGGAUAAACUACUGCUACCUUUGCGGUAUGUGGAGCAAGGAAGUAAGAUUGUCGUGACAACACGGGAUCAAGAUGUAGCAAAAGUCACGCAAACUGUCAUCACCCCUCACUGCUUGAAAGGAAUAAGCGAUGAAUAUUGCUGGAAGUUGUUUGCAAGGGAUGCAUUUAGUGGUCUAAAUUCUGAAGCAGUCUCACACUUGGAAGCAUUUGGCAGAAAAAUAGUGAGAAAGUGCAAAUGUUUGCCGCUGGCAGCGAAAACUCUUGGUGGUCUUUUGCACUCCGUAGAAGAUGUCAAGCAAUGGGAGAAGAUAUCCAAUAGCAGUUUGUGGGGUUCGUCGAAUGAAAACAUCCCUCCAGCUUUAAAAUUGAGCUAUUAUUAUCUCCCUUCACACCUGAAACGUUGUUUUGCUUAUUGUGCAAUAUUUCUCAAAGGUUAUGUAUUCAAGAAGGAUGGAUUAAUCACUGAAUGGAUGGCACAUGGUUUUUUAUUCCAGCCAGAGGUGUUGAGGAGAUGGAAGAUAUAGGUGAAAAAUACUUUGAUGAUCUUGUCUCCAGGUCAUUUUUCCGGCAAUCACUUUAUGCUCCAUCAUAUUUCAGCAUGCAUGACAUCAUAAGUGAUUUAGUUGAAUACGUGUCAGGAGAAUUUUGCUUUAAGCUUGGUAUUAAUGAAUCGGGAUCUGGGUUGGAGGGUGAACAUUCAUGCUCGCUUCCAGAAAGGACUCGUUAUUUAUCAAUCACUUCAGCGGCAGUUCGGACAUUUCGUAGCAUUCAUGGAGUCCAACAUUUGCGCGCCUUGUUUCCACUAUAUAUUUUCGGGGAAGAUGAUAGUGAGGCACUGAAUGACAUCUGGCUAAAUCUUAAGCGCUUGCGAAGGCUAUCUUUAUGUCAUCUAAAAGAUAUUUCUUCUCAGUUGCUCAAUUCCAUUGGCAACUUAAAACAUUUGCGGCACUUGGACCUUUCUCGCACCGCCAUUAAAAGGUUACCUAAAAGUGUGUGCACUUUGUACUAUUUGCAAAGCUUAUUGUUAAAGAAGAGCCGACAUCUCAUGCAGUUGCCAUCCAACCUUUUCAACUUGGUCGCCUUACAACAUCUUGAUAUUGAGGGGACAAAUCUGAAAAAGAUGCCACCGAAAAUGGGGAAACUCACAAGGCUUCGAACUUUGCAAUAUUACGUAGUGGGAAAAGAGAGGGGGUCUAGCAUGAAAGAGCUGGGGAAGCUCUCACAUUUAAGGAAAAAACUUUCUAUUCGGAAUCUCAGAGAUGUUGCAAAUGCUCAAGAUGCUUUGGAUGCCAAUUUGAAGGGUAAGAAGAAGAUUGAGGAGUUGAGGUUGAUAUGGGAUGGCAAUACAGAUGACACCCAACAGGAGAGAGAAGUACUUGAGAAAUUGGAGCCUUCUGAAAUUGUGAAACAGCUUGCCAUUAAGGGUUACGGGGGUACAAUGUUUCCAGACUGGCUUGGAAACUCUUCUUUCUUAAAUAUGGUAGCGUUGACUCUUUCUGGAUGUAAGAACUGCAUCUCCUUACCACCAUUGGGGCAGCUGCCAUCUCUUGAAGAGCUCCAUAUUGAAGGAUUUGAUGAUGUCGUGGCAGUUAGUUCUGAGUUCUAUGGAAGCGACCCUUCGAUGGAGAAGCCAUUUAAAUCCCUCAAAAUAUUAAAGUUUGAGGGGAUGCGAAACUGGCAGGAAUGGAAAACAGAUGUAGCUGGUGCUUUCCCUCAUCUUGCAAAUCUCUUGAUAGCAGGUUGUCCCGAGUUAACAAAUGGCUUGCCUAAUUACCUUCCUUCUUUAUUGAUACUUGAGAUUCAAGCGUGUCCACAGCUUGUGGUUUCAAUUCCAGAGGCUCCCCUGCUCACCGAAAUCAAUGUAAAAGUCACUAAAACUUUCAUCCCCUCUCACCGCUGGAAUGCACUAAGCGAUGAAGAUUGCUAGCAGGUUCUUCUUGCAAGGUAUGCAUUUUAGGGAGAGGAUAUCCAAUAGCAGUAUGUUACUAAAAAAAUAUUUUUAAACUGUAUAUAUAUAUUUUUUAAAAUACACUAGGUAUAUUAAGUUUGUAAAGCAAUGGGAGGAGAUAUAUUAAGUUACUAAAACAAGGUGUUUAUCAUUUUGUUUGGUUGUCCAUAAGGUUUUGUUACGCAACUAUAUAAAAAUAAAAAUCAUAAUUUGUCGACAUUACGGCACAGAAUUGUGAAAUUCAUCCUCUCUUGCCAUCGAAACCUGAGAGUGUUUUGACUUUUGGAGUGGAGGGCAGAAAUAAAAUUGUAGUUAUAUUAAGUUAUAAAAAAAAUAGUUUUAAACUGUAUUUAAAAAAAAUACAUUAGGUAUAUUAAGUUACUAAAUUUUUUUAUUAAACUGUAUUUUUUUUUAAAAUACAUUAGGUAUAUUAAGUUUGUCAAGCAAUGAGAGAAGAUAUAUUAAGUUACUAAAAAAAUAUGUUUAUCACUUUAUUUUUAUUUCUCGUAAAAGUCGGUUACGCAAUCGAAUCGGGGAUGAUUGGUUGAAUGAUUGUUUGGUUACUUAUAUCGAAAAAAAUAUAUUUGAAAGUGUUGAUAAUGGAAAGAUUCUAUAACGUUUUCAGCAUAUGAAGUCUUGCAGGGAUUUCACGGAGCAUCUUUUUAUAAUAUAUGUGAAUUUUUAAAUUUUAUAUUAGAAGCUUAAAAUUUUUAGAUUUUUUAGAUCUUAAUUAAUUUAGUUAUAUUAUUUUGCUAUCUAUGAAAACUCGAUCUGGAUCCGUCCUUUAUCAAAUGAAGUAUAUAUCAUGUUGAAACCGGUAAUGAGUUUCGAUUGAUAGAAGAAUCAGGAAAAAAAAAUUAAAAUAGAUGUGCUUUGAGAGUGAUAAAAUAAUUUCAAGGAAUCAUAGUAAAAUAACUUAUAUGGUUCUAGCAAUAUUGAAAAAGAAAAUUUGGAUUUAGACAUAAAAUUAUAUAUUGACUAGUUUUACGCUAUUGAGCAUGACUCUCAAUUCGAUCUUUCGAUUGAGUUGAAAGUCCACAAGAAGACUUCUGAUAUAUUGCUCUAUCUUGGGUUAAAAGUUUAGGGUAGGCCAUCAUAGAAUAUCAACAGUCGAACUAAAAAUAACAUGUAGAUUCAUUAAUGAUAUUUUCAUAAAUAAGCUAGAAAAACUAAAAAUUUAGUUUCUUCUUCCCCUCUAAACUACCGGCUAGUGCUAAAACAACUAUAAUAGAAAAAACAAAUUGAGAGCUUACUCAUUGGAACCCUUGAAUCAAGAUUUAAGGCAAGAUAGGUGAGGGAAUAAAUAUUAAACACAUCUCGACUAAGUGCCAUCCUAUAAAUUUGUUUUCAAUUUGCAUUUGAUGAAAAAUAUACAAGGAAUCAUAAAUGAAUUAACUUAAGCAUUGCGAAGGAAAUAUCAAGAUAUCAUAAAUGUGUUGACAAGUUAAAAAGUUUUGAAACAACAAAUUUAAAUGAUAAGGGAUGAAGGAUGAAAAUAUUUAGUUGAUGAGAUUUUUUUUUGGUGUGAAAGACAUAGCAUUGAUAUUUCAAAAAUAAAUGAUGUGUUUGUCAUUUGCAGCCGAUCAAGGUGUAAUACCCAACAAUUAAUAAACUUGUAUCAUUAACAGGCCGAGCUGUUCUAUACAACAAUUGACAUGCAACUUCACGAGCUUAACAAUUGUUUUAUCAAGAUACACAUGGAGUUGCUUCCUUGCAUUGCAUGUUUGAAACUCAAUCUCUAUAAUAUUAUAAAUAGGUUAGCAUUGCAAUAACAAAAAAAAAAUAUGAUAACCAUGACAAUAAUAAUAAUAAUAAUAUGAAUAUGUAUAUUUUUAUUAGUUGAUGGAUCAAUUUGAAAGCAUCAAAGUACUUUUUUGUAAAAAUAAACUAAUAAAUGGUACACCCGAGGCAAAAUUAUAGCCAAUAUAGCUUGUUGGCCAAGGGAAAGUGUCACGGGGGUAUUUUUCGCUACGCGAAUAAACCCGUGCGGCAGCCUAGUCCUUCGCUAGACUCAGCCUUCCCUCACCAAUCUCACUCGUGUUUGCCUAAUAACUAAGCAAGCGGAAUACACAAGCAAGGAUAAGAAUCAUAGUGCACAACAAGCUUUACAGGAACUCUUUCCCAACCUUUAUUAAUCUCAUACACAAAGGAAACUAUACACAAAUCCGUAUGUGUGCUAUGCACAAAGAUUACAUGCUACACUAAGCUACCUCUAACUAGUGUUCUACACAUGUUCUUGCAUGCCCCUACAUGCUGGACAUUCCCAACCGAAUGCCCUUACAAUCUGAACAUUCCCACCUGAAUGCUCUCCCACAACCAAGAGCUACAUCUUGUAUUUAUAGACAAGCAAAGGAGCUGCAAAGGCUCCUCCCCAUUAUCCCCCAUUUUCAGGACCUAGUGGAGCACUACCUCUCUCCCAUGAUCCCAUGUUUUCAGGACAUGGUGGAGCACUACCUCUCACCCAUGAUCCCAUGUUCUGCCUCCCAUGAAGCUGCCACUCUCCUUAUUUUCUGGCUGUCUACUUGGCAGCCCCAGCUGCCAGCUUCUGCUGCGUCAGCUGCUGACUUAGAAGGUCCAUCAUCUAAGCCCCCACGUCCAUGUCAAGUCGCAAGCUCAAAGACUCGCAUAGACCAUUGCAUGCUGCCUGCCGAAUUCAUCUCUGCCUAUGCAAGGCUGCCGCGAUCCAUCGCUGCCGAAUUCUAAGCAGAGUGCCUUCGUUGGCGCGUCCCAGCGCCUAGAGCUCUUAGCCCAUGCCUUGGACAGUCCUUCGCCCAAGUUUUAGAUCGUGCCAAGUCGAGCCCCUGACUUGCACAAGUUUGCUGCGCGCUGCCGAGUCCGCAUCUGCAGGCAAGCUGCCAAUGCGCUGCCGAAUUCGCAUAUGCGUGCUGCCAAUCUCUGCGCUGCCGAAUUCGCAUCUGCGUGCAGGCUGCCCCUGUCUACGCUGCCGAAUUCUGCGAUAGUCCCAAUUCUCGUCAGCCUAUCCUCCUGACGAGGCUUGGACAGUCCCUCGUCCAGCCCAUGUUCGUCAACAAUCUGCGCUGCCGAUUUUCCCUUUGACGAACCUACAGCCGCAUAAAUCUGCGCUGACGAUUUCUCCCACUGAUGGCAUGGCUGCCAGCACCCUUCGGCCUUGUUUUGGCCAGCCUGCCGAAGCGUGCACCUCGUGCACAUUUGACACUGUGACAGAAAGAGUCUUUUCGUUUGUAGUUUUGGAGUAGCAAAUAAUGGCUUAUGAUAAGCAAACGUUGAUUCAUCUUGCUUAAUUCUAUCUAUCUAUUUUCUUCAUAGUUGAGCUUGCAGCACUUAUAAUCAACUGGAAACUUAUAUUCUUGACAUGAGAUCCUGUGAAGAAUUUCCAAAGCUAAAAGAAAUCAAUUAUUCUGCUAAAAAAUUGGUAAAGACAAACUAUUUCAUUAGAAAAUAAAAUAUUUUCAGCGAUGAAAUUGAUUAAAAAUUGAUUACGCAAUCGAAUCAGAGAUGAUUAAUUAAAUGAUUGUUUGAUUAUGAUUACUUAUAUCGAAAAAGAUAUAUUGAGAAGUGAUAAUAAUAAGAAAAUCCUAUAUUUCAACAUAUAAAAUCUUGCAAGGAACAAUUAUAAAUUAUAUAAAAAAGAAUUUCAUGAAUCAUCUUUAUAUAUAUAUAUAUUACAAAUUUAUAAUUUUAAGAUUUUUUAAAUCUUAAUUAAUUUAAUUAUAUACUUAUAUUAUUUUAUACGUUAAAACUGGAGUCCAUCCUUCAUCUUAAUGGCAUAGAUGAAAUAUCUUAUUUAUGCCCAUUUGAAGAUAAUUAAUCCAGACUUAAUCCACUUGAUGAUGCCUUAAUCAUGCUGAUAAAAAAAGAUUAAUACAUUAAGCACAAGUGUUGAUAUAAUCAGUGGCAGAGCCCCGGGGCUGGCAGGACCCGGCCUUGUAAGAAAAUGUUCUUGUCAAUAUUUUUUUAAUAAUAUUUAUAGUUUCAGCUCAAAUAAUAAAAUAACUGAAAUCUUUGCCUUCUAAAAUAUUUUUUUUAAUUUUAUUUUGUGACCCAGCCCUAAAUAUAAUAUAAAUAAUUUAAUAUUGUUAGGAAGUUUUAAACCGGCUUCCAUGAAUUUAAUAUUGCCUAUCAUUUCAGCGUGUCCCGAGGUGAAAACAUUUGGCCUUUUUUUUUAAUUACUGAAAACUUAACAUGUCAUGUGCUAAAUUCUUUUUUUUAUUAUUUACGUGGGGUGUCCGGGCCAGCUUACGCGCACCACGACUAUUCCCCACAGCCCGCUGGACAUCCUGCAAGCCCAGGAGCAGGUAAGGCACCGCGGAGGUGACAGGCGUGCACAUAGAGGGUCGAACCCGGGACGGGAGCGGAACAAGUCACACGAUUGACCACAACAGCUAGACCCUCAAGUGCAUCAUGUGCUAAAUUCUUGAAGAACCCAGUGAAUGCCAAAAUUAAAGAUUCAUUUUGAAAAUUAAUUUGAAAUAAAAAUGAAAAAAUAUAAUUUUUUUUCAAAAAUACUUUUACAUCCAGAAACAAAAAUGACCUUAUGUAAGGGACAUGCACGUAUCCACUUAGAUAUAAAACCCCAGCCAAGAAACCAAAGAAGAGAAGUAGAGAACGGUAGCUCAGGGGAGCGUUUGGCAUGGAAAAAUGAAAGGGCACGGUCGUAUAUAUUCUUUGGAUUUCCACAUUGGUAAUAUAUACAUGAAUUUGUUUUUAUAUUAAGAAUUAUGUUUUAUGAUUGUUUUAAAUAAAAUUUGCUUUAAAUUAAUAUUGUUUUAGUAUUGUUAAAUUAUUUUAAUGUAAUAAUAUAAAAAAUAAUUUUUUAUUUUUUUAAAUAAAAAAUAAUUAUUACCAUACUCACCAUCAAAACUUAACAAGUACGGUAGGUAUGCAUCAAAGAAAAACCAAAGGACGGUAGGUAUGCAUCAAUGCCAUAAAUAGAGUUUGUCUUGUUCAGAAGACUUUGAAAGUGGCUUCGUUGACUCUGCAGACACGAAGAAUAGUCAAAAGUCCUAAAAUUAACUCAUCUUUGCUAUCCACGGCGGCGCAUCAUUAGUGGGUUUGGAAAUUAACAUGGUGCUUCCGAUGAGCCAAGCUAUGUGUUCACAGUGAUUAAUUCGAAUGUGUAAGCAAUAUCGUUGCUAUCACCAUUUGCUUUGAAGGGCUAUUUAAAAAUAUAAUAGUAGUUAUUUCUUUAAAAUAUAUAUUAAAUAUAUAUAUUUUUUUAUUUUUUAAAAAUUAUUUUUGAUAUUAAUACAUCAAAUCAAAACAAAACAAAAAAUAUAAAAAAAUUAAUAUAAAAAAUUUAAUUUUAAAAAAACAUGAUUUUAAAUGCGAUCCCAUACAAUAGAUUAGAUAGAAAAAAAAAGGAAACUGGAAAAAAAACAUUAAUUAAAAUGAUAAAUAGAUAUAAAUAAAUUAUUUUUUCUUCAAAUUAGAAUCGUUAUUUUCUAUACACUAUUGUCGCUAAAAUUAUAAAAUCAUUUUAUAAUUUAUAAUCAUUUUCUAUAUAUUAUUGUUGCUUUUUUUCAUAUAUAUAUAUAUAUAUAAUCCUCACUAUGAAAUUCUGAAAGAGAGAACGGCGGCUAAAAGCAACAACAUUUUAGCUAGAUAAAUAAAGUUUAAUGACUUGAUAUGUUCUUAUAUUAUAAAAUAUUUCUUUGAUCUAUUUCUAUAUAUCUAAUUAAGUUAAUUUUAUUCUUUAAUAUAUAUUAAAUUUAUAAUUUAUCAUUCUUCUCAUGUAAACUCACUCCAAUUUGUCAUGUGUCUGUUACAUGCAAAACUAGAAGAUUAUAUUUAAAAUUUAACAUAUAUUUUAAAUAAAAUUGACUUAAAUAAAGAUAUAAUAGGUCAAUGAUAGAUAAAUAGCCCACUAUCGAAGGAUAUACUACGUUACUAAAAAAAAACCUGUUUAUCAAUUUGUGUGGUUGUCCACUAGGUUUUGUUCUCUCCAUUGAUAUUAAUUAUCAUCAGUAUCUGAAUGGCAUAGCAUAGGUUAAAAACUUAUUAUUAAUAUUUUAUGGAUGUACACAAGAAGAUAAUUAAUCCAUAAUAAUUUUUACGGUUUAACUGUCUAUAUAUUUUUAAAUUUUAUUAUUCGAUUAACAAAUUUAUUUAUACAUACCGCUUCCACGAGUUUUCUUGUCUCUUCCUUUCCUUUAAAGUCCCCGAAUUCCCAUCAUGGCUUAUUAGCUUUCUACUACUAUCAUUCUCUCUCUCACCCUUUCGCAAAAAUCGACAACUUCAUGACUCAGAAAUCUUGACCCCAUCUCCUAACAAUUCAUAGACAGGUAGGGUUCAGCAUUGCACCAUUCUUUUCAAGAACUGGUGGGAUGUCACAGAUUUCAAAUAGAUGGUAGGAAUGGACCUCUCGAUGAUAAGUAGGGCCCAAAUUGCCGCCCAAAGGCCAUUGUAGAUUCACGUUCAGAGAACAUCAGAUGCGAUGCUUAGCCGACAGUAGAGAAGAAUGAUUACUUCUGAAGAGAAUAUCAUUACAAAAUGAUCCCCGGCAAACAGUCAGGGAUGCCAGCACGGCCGGCUUACAUUGUUAAGCUUGUAACAAUCUAUAAUCAACUCGAAACUUAUAUUCUUAACCUGAGAUCUUGUGAAGAAUUUCCAAAGAUAAAAAGGAAUCAAUGAUCUUGCUCAGAAAUUAGUGGAGGCCAAGAAGGUUGUGGUUAGUAAUUUUACCUCGUGUGAAUAUAAUAUAAAUAAUUUAAUAUUGUUAGGAAGUUUAAAACCGGCUUCCAUGAAUCUUCUUGUCUUUUCUUUUCCUUUAAAAGUCUAUAUGGUUGUUCUCUUAAUGCAAUUCAUUGGAUUCUGCUUUCUACGGCCUUCUCUCUCACACCGUCCGCGAAGAUCCACCAUGGCUUCUGCUAUUGUCCUUUUUUUUUCUCUCCCGUCCUUUUGAUACUGUCGUCCUUCCGCAAAAAUCCACCAUGGCUCUGGGGUUGAGUAGAGGUUAAUUAUCUGUGCUGUCAUUGAGGUUUUGGUCGACAGGCUGUCCUCUCCUGAGGUUCUAGGCUUUUUCAAAAGACAAGCUCAAUCAAUGGAAAAGUUGAAGUUAAACAUUAAAUUAUUCUCCUUUUUUAUUUUUUUUCACAAGUAUUUAACCGUUCAAUUUGUAAGAACAUCAGUCUUUUUUAUAAGCCAACAAUUACACUUUUUAAAUUUGCUAUUAUAAUAAUUAUUUAUUUAUGUGAUAAUUUCACCAAUGUUUUUUUGGCCUUGUACCAAAUACCUUCUAAGAGUAAUACCAGAUGAAAUUUUUUAAAAUAUUUUUGAACCUCAUAGUUUCAUAUAUCUAUAUUUUAACCGUUAACUUCAUUUCUCACACGUUUCACUCUUUGACUAUUGAGUUUUGAUCCUUGCAAUUCUCAUAAAAGUACAUUUUGGUUCCUUAAGUUUUUAUUUUUAUUUUUGAUCCUUAUAAUUUCAGGUAUUUAUAUUUAAUUCUAAAAUUUUAUUUUCCUUACAUUUCAAUUCCUUUAUGUUGCGAUUAUAGAGAGAAAGUCGCUAGAAAAAAGAGAGGAAAGAGAAGUAUUUUGGUGAGUUGUAUUUCAAGAACAAAAAAUGUUGAUUUUGGAGAGUUGUAUUUUGAAUGAAACAGACCCAACCAAGGCCCCGAGUUACCCGGGUCCUGGGUUGACCCGUCAAGCGGGGCUGAGUUUGAUAACUAUGAUAACAACCAUGUCAGACCCAAGAUGUUAGGUAUAUCCUUGGAUCUAACGGCCAUAUCAGACCCAAUAGCCUUGGAUCUUACAUGACUACCAGACCUAGGGUCUGGUGAUUGGGUCUCGCAAUCAUGCCAGACCCCAACAUCUUGGACCUGGCUGCCAUGACUAAACUGAAAAAAAAAAAACAAAAUUUUGCAUAGUAACAAAUACAUAGUGAAAAUCCAACGUAUUUUAGUAUAUAAGUAAUAAAUUUAAUAAUUAACAUAUAAUGCAUGAUAAAAUUAGCAUUAAUUUUACCAGUGGCUACUGCAACAAUAAAGAAAAUAUUUUUAGCAUUCAAAUUGGUUAAAAAUCGAUUACAUGAUCAAAUUAGGGGUGAUUUGUUGAAUGAUUGUGUGGUUACUUAUAUCAAUAAAGAUAUAUUUAAAAGUGUUGAUAAUGAAAAGAUCCUACAAUGUUUUCACUAUAUGAAGUCUUGCAAUGAGCGAUUGUGAAUUUUAUAUAUAUAUAUAUAUGCAAUAUAUAUAUAUAUAUAUAUAUAUAUAUAUAUAUAUAGAAUUUUAUGAAAUAUCUUUUUAUAAUAUAUGUAAAUUUUUUAACUUUAUAUUAAAAAAUUAUAAUUUUUGGAUUUUUUAGAUCUUAAUUAAUUAAUGGAAAAGUUGAAGUUAAUUAUUAAAUUAUUCUCUCUUUUUUUCACAACUAUUUAACUAUUUAAUUUGUAAAUACAUCAGUCAUUUUAAAAAACCAACAUUUACACUUUUUAAAUUUGCUCUUAUAAUAAUAAUAAUUAUUUAUGUGAUAAUUUCAACCAUAUUUUUAAGCCUUAUACCAAAUACCUUCUAAGAGUAAUACCAAAUGAAGUUUUUUUUAACAAAACAUAUUUUUGAACCUAGUAGUUUUAUGUGUUUACAUUUUAACCGUAAACUUCAUUUCCCACUCGUUUCACUAUCUGAAUAUUGAGUUUUGGUCCUUGAAAUUCUCAUAAAAGUUCAUUUGGGUUCCUAAAAUUUUUUCUUUUAUCCUCGUAGUUUUAGCUAUUUAUUUAAUUCUAAAACUUUAUUUUCCUCACAUUUUAAUUCCUUGAUGUUACGAGUAUAAAGAGAAAGUCGUUAGAUAAAAAGAAAAGUAUUUUGGUGAGUUGUAUUUCAAGAACAAAAAAUACUGAUCUUAGUGUCCAUAAAUUUUUCUUUAAACACAUAACAAAAAAAAUUAAUAUUUUUUAAAAGUGGCCCUAAACAAAAUAAAAAAGAGGAGGUUUUAUCUAUUUUUUUGGUUUUUUAACCAGUCACAUUACUUUAUUUCUUUUCAAUUGCAUUCUUUAAAGCUAUAUUUUCAUGGCAACCAUAGCUAUCAAACCCAGCCUAGGAGUUAACCCGACUAAUGGGCUAAGUCCUGGUUUACACGAGUUGACUCGGGUCAACCAAGAAAAAUUUUAAAAAAAUAUUUGAGAUUUUAAUAUUUUAUAUGAAAAAAUAAGAAAUAAUCCAUAUGGAUAUAUGCUAUACAUGUUGUAAACAAUUAAAUUUAAAAGAUUAUUUCAAAAUGUUUUUUAUUCCACAUUGAAAAGAUACUAUCUUAUUCUUUUAAGUUAAAGUAUUUAAAUAAAAAAGGUUUUCUAUCCUACAUUGAAUAACCAUUAACUUUUUUAUUGUGAAUAUAGAAUAAAUAUAUAGACACAUACACACACUAAAAGACUUCAAAUUUUACAUUACAAAAAUAAAAUAUUUUUCUAAUAUUUAUAUACUGAACUUGAAAUGAGUUAGAAAAAAACUGAAAAUAUAUAAAAAAAAUCUCUAAAUAAAAGAAAAACACAUUUAAUAAAAACAGAAUCUCUAUCAAGUUUUUAUUGGGCCACCCGAGUUCCAGGUUUACCCAACAUGUUAACCAGUUUACUCCAGGCCACUUACACGUCCAAAUAUUGAAUGAAACAGACCACCAAGGCUUAUCAUUCUCUCUCACAUAAUCACUCUAUCACCCUUUCGCAAAAAUCCACCAAGGCUCCUGCUUUCCACUACUCCUUUUCUCUCACAUAUUCCGACCCUCACCCCUUCUGCAAAAAUCCACCAUGGCUCUGGAGUUGAUCGGAGGAUCAAUUCUCUCUGCUCUCGUUGAGGUACUGGUCGACAGGUUGGCCUCUCGUGAGGUUCUGGACUCCUUCAAAAGCCACAAACUCGAUGAUGGUCUUCUGGAAAAGCUGAAUGAAACACUGAAUACUGUCAACGGACUACUCGACGAUGCGGAGGAGAAGCAGAUUACAAAGCGUGCUGUGAAGAACUGGCUUAAUGAUGUUAAACACGCUGUGUAUGAAGCUGAGGACAUAUUGGAUGAGAUUAAUUAUGAAUAUCUACGAUCCAAGGACAUUGAUACCCCUCGACCUGACAGCAAUUGGGUAAGCAUAAGUUCUUGCACCUAUAGACCUUGCUUCCUCAUAAAAUGUUUUUUUUUUUUUUUUAACUUUCAUGUAUGCUCUCAAGUCUGUAAACGAGGAAAAAAUAAUUUUAGGGAUGGUUGUUGUCUUUCUGUGAGUUUUAAUUAAAGAGUAUUCAUUGUUAUGCAUGCAACUAAUAUCAUUGGCUUUUGGUGUCUAUGGCGUAAUUAUGCUUGCAAAUUCUCAUUUAUUAAUUAGUUUUCUAGACAUUUAAUCACUAUCUUUUUAAAACUUGAAUUUUACUGCGUGCAUUAAGUUAGCAUCAACAAUUGUAAAUUCUUGAAAAAGAUCUGUAGAAAGAAAACUUAUUAAUUCUCUAGAUGUAAAAAUCUUAAUGUUUAUGUUUUGAUAUUAAAAAAUUAUAAUGUUAUCCUGAAUUCUAUCUCAUAUAUUUAGUCCACCAUUGCAGGCAAGGAAUCUGGUUCCAUUUCUAAAUCCAGCUAAUAGAAGGAUGAAAGAGAUUGGAGCAGAGUUACAAAAGAUCUAUGAGAAGCUUGAACGUUUACUUAAACACAAGGGUGAUCUGCGCCACAUAGAAGGUACUGGUGGAUGGAGACCAUUGUCAGAGAAAACAACUCCACUGGUUAAUGAACCUGAUGUAUAUGGAAGGGACGCUGAUAAGGAAGCCAUAAUGGAGCACUUGCUGACACAACACAAGACAGAUGGCCCAAAUUUAGUUGUGGUUCCUAUUGUGGGCAUGGGCGGGAUUGGUAAAACCACUCUUGCUCAGCUUAUCUACAACGACGAAAAGGUAGAUCAGUUCUUCCAACUCAAGGCCUGGGUCUGGGCUUCUCAACAAUUUGACGUCACCAGGAUUAUUGAGGAUAUUAUUAAGAAGAUCAAAGCAAGGACUUGCCCCACCAAAGAACCAGAUGAAUCCAAAGAACCAAAUGAAUCUCUAAUGGAGGCAGUGAAAGGGAAAAAACUUCUACUUGUUCUAGAUGACGCGUGGAACAUCGAGUACAAUGAAUGGGAUAAAUUACUGCUACCUUUGCGGUAUGUGGAGCACGGAAGUAAGAUUGUCGUGACAACACGGGAAGAAGAUGUAGCAAAAGUCACGCAGACUGUCAUCCCCUCUCACCGCUUGAAUGUAAUAAGCGAUGAAGAUUGCUGGAAGUUGUUUGCAAGGGAUGCAUUUAGUGGUGUAAAUUCUGGAGCAGUCUCACACUUGGAAGAAUUUGGCAGAGUAAUAGUGAGAAAGUGCAAAGGUUUACCGCUGGCAGCGAAAACUCUUGGGGGUCUUUUGCACUCCGUAGGAGAUGUCAAGCAAUGGGAGAAGAUAUCCAAUAGCAGUAUGUGGGGUUCGUCGAAUGAAAACAUCCCUCCAGCUCUAACAUUGAGCUAUUAUUAUCUCCCUUCACACCUGAAACGUUGUUUUGCUUAUUGUGCAAUAUUUCCCAAGGAUUAUGUAUUCAAGAAGGAUAGAUUAAUCACUGAAUGGAUGGCACAUGGUUUUCUAGUCCAGCCCAGAGGCGUUGAGGAGAUGGAAGAUAUAGGUGAAAAAUACUUUAAUGAUCUUGUCUCCAGGUCACUUUUCCAGCAAUCCACUGGUGAUUCUUUUUUCAGCAUGCAUGACCUCAUAAGUGAUUUAGCUGAAUACGUGUCAGGAGAAUUUUGCUUCAAGCUUGGUAUUAAUGAAUCGGGCUCUGGGUUGGAGAGUGAACAUUCAUGCUCGCUUCCAGAAAGGACUCGUUAUUUAUCAAUCACUUCAGCGGCAGCAUAUGGCGGAGGACUUCGGAUUUUUCGUAGCAUUCAUGGAGUCCAACAUUUGCGCGCCUUGUUUCCACUGAAGUUUUUUGUGGAAGUUGAUAUUGAGGCACUGAAUGACAUUUUGCCAAAUCUUAAGCGCUUGCGAAUGCUAUCUUUAUGUCAUCCAAAAGAUAUUUCUUCUCAGUUGCUCAAUUCCAUUGGCAACUUAAAACAUUUGCGGCACUUGGACCUUUCUCAGACAGUAUUUAAACGGUUGCCCGAAAGUGUGUGCACCUUGUACUAUUUGCAAAGCUUAUUGUUAAAGGAGUGCCGACUUCUCAUGGAGUUGCCAUCCAACCUUUCCAACUUGGUCGACUUACAACAUCUUGAUAUUGAAGGGACAAAUUUGAAAGAGAUGCCACCAAAAAUGGGGAAACUCACGAAGCUUCGAAUUUUGGAAUCUUACAUCGUGGGAAAAGAUAGCGGGUCUAGCAUGAAAGAGUUGGGGAAGCUCUCACACAUAAGGAAAAAACUUUCUAUUCGGAAUCUCAGAGAUGUUGCAAAUGCUCAAGAUGCUUUGGAUGCCAAUUUGAAGGGUAAGAAGAAGAUUGAGGAGUUGGGGUUGACGUGGGAUGGCAGUACGGAUGACACACCACACGAGAGAGAUGUACUUGAGAAAUUGGAGCCUUCUGAAGAUGUGAAAGAGCUUGCCAUUAUUGGUUACGGGGGUACAACGUUUCCAGGCUGGCUUGGAAACUCUUCUUUCUCAAAUAUGGUAACGUUGCUUCUUUCUGGAUGUACGAACUGCAUCCUCUUACCACCAUUGGGGCAGCUGCCAUCUCUAGAAGAGCUCGAAAUUGAAGGAUUUGAUGAAGUCGUGGCAGUUGGUUCUGAGUUCUAUGGAAGUGACCCUCCAAUGGAGAAGCCAUUUAAAUCCCUCAUAACAUUAAAGUUUGAGGGGAUGAAGAAAUGGCAGGAAUGGAAUACAGAUGUAGCUGGUGCUUUCCCUCAUCUUGAAAAUCUCUUGAUAGCAGGUUGUCCAGAGUUAACAAAUGGCUUGCCUAAUCACCUUCCUUCUUUAUUGAUACUUGAGAUUCGAGCGUGUCCGCAGCUUGUGGUUUCAAUUCCAGAGGCUCCCCUGCUCAGAGAAAUCAAUGUAUCUGAGGGAGAUGAAAGUCGUAUAACUGGUCGUACGUCGUCCUAUUAUUGCUACUACUUACCAGAUCAACCACCCAAGUGCCUUCAUUUUAGACGAGAUCCCCAGCUAACGGGAAUGGAGCAAAUGAGUCAUUUGGAUCCCCGUCUUUUCACUGAUAUCAAAAUCGAGGAAUGUAGUUCAUUUAAGUGCUGCCAGCUAGACCUUUUACCCCAGGUCACCACACUUACCAUUGAACAUUGUCUCAAUCUGGAAUCCCUAUGUAUAGGCGAGAGACCUGUCCCUGCUCUCUGUCGUCUGACAAUCAGUCACUGUCCUAAUUUGGUGUCUUUCCCCAAAGGAGGACUAGCUGCCCCGGAUUUGACAAGCCUUGUGUUAGAGGGUUGCUUAUAUUUGAAGUCGUUGCCGGAAAACAUGCGUUCCCUCCUACCUUCCCUACAGGAUUUGCAAUUGAUCUCACUUCCAGAAGUUGAUUCGUUUCCUGAAGGAGGUUUACCCUCCAAUUUAAACACACUUUGCAUUGAAGAUUGUAUCAAACUCAAGGUAUGUGGUUUGCAAGCACUCUCUUCUCUUUCAUACUUCGAAUUUAGUGGGAACGAUGUGGAGUCUUUUGACGAGGAGACGUUGCCCUCUACUCUCACAACCCUUAAAAUCAAACGUCUGGGAAACCUGAAGUCUCUGGACUAUAAGGGGCUUCAUCACCUCACCUCUCUUCAGGGAUUGGGUAUCGAGGGUUGCCCUAAGCUUGAGUCCAUAUCAGAGCAGGCGCUUCCCUCCUCCCUUGAAUACCUUUAUCUCAGAAAUCUAGAAUCUCUGGACUACGUGGGGCUUCAUCACCUCACCUCUCUUGACACAUUGAAGAUCAAGAGUUGCCCUAAACUUGAGUUCGUAUCAGAACAGGUGCUGCCCUCCUCCCUUGAAUACCAGGGGCUUCAUCACCUCACCUCUCUUAGAAAUUUGAGUAUCGAGAGUUACCCUAAACUUGAGCACAUAUCAGAACAGGGGCUGCCCUCCUCCCUUGAAUGCCUUCAUCUCUGUAAACUGGAAUCUUUGGACUACAUUGGGCUUCAGCACCUCACCUCUCUUCACAAAAUGAAGAUCGGGAGUUGUCCUAAACUUGAAUCGUUGCAGGGGCUGCCUUCCUCCCUUGAAUUCCUUCAGUUAUGGGAUCAGCAAGACCGGGACUAUAAGGAACUUCGGCACCUCACCUCUCUUCGCAAAAUGAAUAUAAGAAGGAGCCUUAAGCUUGAGUACCUUCAAGAAGGCACACUUCCCUCCUCCCUUAAAGACCUUGAAAUCCAGGAUUUGGAAGAUCUGGAUUAUAAGGGGUUUCGGCACCUCAGCUCUCUUCGUAAAUUACAUAUCUGUAAUUCUCCUAAGCUCGAGUUCGUGCCAGGAGAGGAGCUGCCCUCCUCCCUUGUAUCUCUUAAAAUAUCAGGUCUGAUAAAUCUGAAAUCUGUAAUGAGGCUUCAGCACCUCACCUCUCUUCGCAAAUUGAUUAUCCGGGAUUGUCCUAAGCUUGAGUACUUGCCAACAGAAGAGCUGUCCUUACCCCUAGUUCCUGAUAUUAGUGGUUGUCCUUUUGUAGAACCGAGUUGUUGCAUUAGUUAGACCAUGUAUCUUACCCGCGCUCCGCGGCCGAGCGAUUAGUUAUAUAAUUAAAUUUAAUAAAUAGGUUUUACAAUACAUUUUUAAUAUAAAAUAUUUUUCAAUAAUAAAUAGAAAUAUCUUUACAUACAUUAGUAAUUAGAUCAAUAUUUCAUAAAAAAAUAAUUAAAAUUGAGAUAUUUAAUCUUAUAAUAUGAAUCAUGCAUUUAGUUGUGUUUAACAAUUAUAUUUCCUAGAUUUUUUUUUUUAAAAAAUACAUGGGUCAAACUAUAUAAAUAUAAUAACCUUGUGACAUGAUUGAGAUAAUUUUAUAGAAAAAAAAGUAAAAAAAAAAGAAGCACAAAUACCAAUUCCAAAAAAAAUUACAUGUUGAAGGAUGAAAUUAAAAUAACACAAGAAUACUUGAUUUCACAUCAGGUUCAUGCAUUCAGCUAUGUUUAAUAACUUUGUUUUUUAGAAUAUUUUUUUAUUUAAUCAAACAAUUAUCUAUGCAAAUAAAAGGUAAAAAAAAUCACAAAUGAAAGCAAAUAAAAUCAAAUCAUGAAGCUUAAUUAUAAAACAACUCAAUGUUGAAUGAUGAAUUUUUUAAAAAAAUAAUUAAGAAAAACAAAAAAAAUAUGAGUCAACCCUCGUUAAUCCGCUAACAUUGCGACCAUUGGCAUAUGAUUGGAAUAAACCCAUAGAGAUGAAAGUGAAAGAAAAUAAAUACAAAGACCAACUCUCAGAAAAAUUAAAUGUUGAAGGAUGAAAUUAAAAAAAAAAUACUAGAGUCAAAUCAUGUUAAUAUUUGAAACUUGUAAUUGUGAUCAUGAGACCAAGACUACUCAUGUAUGAGUCAAACCCAAAAAAACAACAAAACAAAUUUCUCAAUAAAAAAAUAUCGAGGCAUGAAACUUUCAAUAAAAAAAAAACAUGAAAACAAUAUGAAUCAACCAGGGUUAACUCGCUAACCCCGUGACCAUGGAAACAGAUCGGGAUAACCUUAUUGAAAGUAAAGUGACAGAGAAAAGCACAAAGAACAACUAUAUAAAAAAUAAACGUUGAAGGGUGAAAUUAAAAAAAAAAGAUCAUUAACCUUUAAAACUCAUGAUCAUGAUGUUGGGACUAACCAUAUAAAAAACAACAUAACAAAAUUCUCUGUAUAAAAAAGUUGAGGCAAGAAACUUAGUAAAAAAAGCAACAUAAAAUAUCUGAGUCAACUAUGUAACCACGAGUAUAUAAUUUAAAUAAUCUUAUAGAAAGGAAAGAAAAAACAAAACAUGAAAACCAAUUUCAUAAAAAUUAAAUAUUGAAGAAUAAAAUUGAAAAAAAUAAAUUUCUAUCAUUAAGAAACCAAAAUCAACCCGUGCAAACCUUUAAAAGCCAUGUCAAAAAAAAAAGCUAAGUGAUGAAAUCUUUAAAAAAAACCAAUAAAAAAAAUUCAAAACAUAAUAAAUAUAAGUAAAAAAAAAUAGAGAUCAAAUUCGAUACUAAAAAUUAAAAAUCAAAUAAAGAGGAAUAAAAUCGAAACAAUAUCUAAUUAGUUGAAGGAUUUAAAAAUAUCAAAAGAAAUAGUGCUAAGUUUUAUAUAAAAAUAAAAUAAAAUAAAAUGAUUAGAGAUAAAUAGCAAUGAAUACUAUUUUUAUAAAAUAAAAAUUAAAAAAACUGUAGAAAAACACAAUAAAAAUAUAAAAACUAUAUGUAAUAUAAGUGUUAACCGCACGUAUCAAACAUUGGUUCCAAACAAAACUAGAAAAUAAAAAAACUAGACACCUGCAUCAUCACGUCCAAACCUGCCUAAAAGGCAGAAAAAACUGCACAUGCAUUUGCAAUACCAUGCCACAACCAAAUCAAUCUUACCAAAAACAUCCUUUAUUCAUCAUUAAAGGUCCUCUUGUGAACAAAACAUAAAAACAUAGUGAAAACAAAAAGAUUGGUUUCAAUGGCAAAUGCAUAAGCAAAAAAUAUUCAAAUCAAUGUAGAAAUCAUAAAGAGAGCAACGGAAGGACAAAAAUCGAUCAAAAAACCCUCACUGACAGAAGAAACAACACACUUUCACCUCAUGUGUUCUCCAUCGGUUUGUUUAAGAAAAAAAAGACGAGCUGCAGCAUCACCACCUCCAUCCUCUCUCAUAAGCUUCUUCUUCUCCAAUGUGCAUACCUUUUUGGUUCACACAUGUUCUAUGCCUCCUCUCCCUCUUCUAAAUCAUGACUACAAGUGAAGAAAACAACUCUAAUCCCACCCAAAAACAAUGUUCUAAUACCAAAUUUGAUAUGAGACAAAAGAGAUUUAAAGUUAAAGAAGAGAAAAAAAAAGUCAAAGAAAGAGAAAAAAAACUGAUAAAGACUAAAACCCUGAUUAUAACAUAUAAUUAAACUUAUAGCCCACUAAAUAAAAUAGUAAAAACAAUAAUUAAAUCAAAUCCAAAAAAUAAUGUAUGAUUAAUAAAUUUCAACUAAAAAAUUAAAUAAAUUAAACUAAAAUAUAAGUUGAAGCUCCAUCUCUUAAUGAUUUGAGCUACCCUCCAUCAUUUAUAAUCAUACAAAUACGUAAAUAGUGUUCUUUCGAGUCCGUCCCUACCACUUAUAUAUAUAUAUAUAUACAGAGAAUUUAAGUCUAGUAUUUGAACGGUUCAUAAACCUCGAUCCAUCAUGCGAUUUCUCAAGAUGACGUUGUUAUAAUUUCAAAAAACUAUUUACAGAAGAUUUAUCUUCAAGGACAAGAGUUGAAUCCUUAAUAUUUUACUUGUCAUAACUUAAUUUUGGCCCUUUGGUUUUUAAUUUAAUUUUUACAGGGUUUAAAAUGAAAAUUUAAAAGAUCAGAGAUUUAUUUCGAUGAAAAGUGUGAUUUGUCAAACUUCCGUGAAAAUUAAGGAUUACAAUGUGUUUUUGUCAUUCUAUCUUUAUCUUCAAGAUAAUCCCUAUCUUCAAGAUAAUCUUUAUCUUCGAGAUAAUCCUUGUUUUUAAGAUAAUGAUAGUUAUCCGAUUUCAAAUUUGAUUCUUAAUCAAAUUCAAACUUCAAAGAAGAGAAUGAGUUUGAUUGAAACUUGGUUUCUCACACGCGAAAGGACUCUGACACUAUAAAUACAGAUUUCAGGGUAUGAAAAAAAGAAGAGAGGAUGAUUAGGGAGAGACCCUAAAGAAACAGGGAAAAAACCCAGGAAAAGGCCAUUGUAAAAGAGAUUUAAAGUUAAAGAAGAGAAAAAAAAAUCAAAGAAAGAGAAAAAAAACUGAUAAAGACUAAAACCCUGAUUAUAACAUAUAAUUAAACUUAUAGCCCACUAAAUAAAAUAGUAAAAACAAUAAUUAAAUCAAAUCCAAAAAAUAAUGUAUGAUUAAUAAAUUUCAACUAAAAAAUUAAAUAAAUUAAACUAAAAUAUAAGUUGAAGCUCAAUCUCUUAAUGAUUUGAGUUACCCUCUAUCAUUUAUAAUCAUACAAAUACGUAAAUAGUGUUCUUUCGAGUCCAUCCCUACCACUUAUAUAUAUAUAUAUACAGAGAAUUUAAGUCUAGUAUUUGAACGGUUCAUAAACCUCGAUCCAUCAUGCGAUUUCUCAAGAUGACGUUGUUAUAAUUUCAAAAAACUAUUUACAGAAGAUUUAUCUUCAAGGACAAGAGUUGAAUCCUUAAUAUUUUAAUUUUCAUAACUCAAUUUUGGCCCUUUGGUUUUUAAUUUAAUUUUUACAGGGUUUAAAAUGAAAAUUUAAAAGAUCAGAGAUUUAUUUCGAUGAAAAGUGUGAUUUGUCAAACUUCCGUGAAAAUUAAGGAUUACAAUGUGUUUUUGUCAUUCUAUCUUUAUCUUCAAGAUAAUCCCUAUCUUCAAGAUAAUCUUUAUCUUCGAGAUAAUCCUUGUUUUUAAGAUAAUGAUCGUUAUCCGAUUUCAAAUUUGAUUCUUAAUCAAAUUCAAACUUCAAAGAAGAGAAUGAGUUUGAUUGAAACUUGAUUUCUCACACGCGAAAGGACUCUGACACUAUAAAUACAGAUUUCAGGGUAUGAAAAAAAGAAGAGAGGAUGAUUAGGGAGAGACCCUAAAGAAACAGGGAAAAAACCCAGGAAAAGGCCAUUGUAGAAACCCUAUAAAAAAAAAUAAAAAAAACAUUUAUAAAAAAAAAAAGAGCGCGGCCGAAUCCUUAACUAGCCGCCGCACCCUCCCCCCAGCUUUUUCCUCUCUUCUUCCCUGGUCCCAAACCAGCUAUUAAACGCUCCUAUUCAUUGAUUUUCUUUCCGCCAAUCUCAACGCCAAGGAGCUGCAACUCCUCAUAAAAAUAAAAAUAAAAAGUCUUUCUCCCUCCCAGUCACCGACCUUCAGCCUCUCUUCCCCGCUCUCACUCUCCCCGUUAACCACCAUCCUUCAUCUCAGCCUCCUCACCGAGAACACAAGCCUCCACCCAUCAAUCCUCAGCCACAGGGAAACCGAAGGAAACCAUACACAGACAGCCCUUUCACUUCCUUUUUCUGCGACCGAUCGAUCCCUCAAACUGACCACACACGGUCUUCUUCCCCCAUCCGCAAUAUUUCUCUUUCUUCCCUAGCCGACUACCAUGAGCAACGGAGAAGCAGCACCCGAAGACCCAAUGGUUCCAGCCACAGGCAGCUGCAAAAACAGAGAAGAGUUUUCCUCAGAACUCAGCUGCAGCAGCAAAAGUCGUGUGGUGUAGUUUUUUUUCCUUCCUCCAGCGGUGCAGUUUCUUCAUGCACAAGAACCGUGAGGCUCCAGCAUGGCAGCCAUGGACUGUCUAGCCUCCAUUGAAGUAACGCUUAGAAGCACUCUUCUCGCCAGCCUUUGCACCAGCAGUGAACAUCAGCAGUUUUUUAGCUCCAACAGCCACUCCUCUCUCCCCACCGUGCUCUUCCUGCCAGCGUCCACUAGUUCCUCGAUCGGGAGAAGAUCCUGCUCCACCGGGGUCAGCUUCCUCUUUUCUCUUCCGGCCGUGGCUCUAGCCAUCGCUAGUGUCAGUGAGUCGCUUCCCCUCCUGUAUUACAAUUCACGUUAGUAGCUGUGAAUUAUAGUUCACUUGCUACUGUAGCAACUGAACUAUAAUUCACUUGCCUCAACCGGGUCACUGGCUUAGGCCAGUGACCAGACCGGGGAGGUUGGGUCUACACAGCCAUGCAGGCUGGGUCAGACCCACCCAAAAUAAAUAAAUAAAAAAACAUAAUAAAAAAAUAGUUUUUUUUAUUCAGAUUUUUGUGGGUUUAUUCACUGGCGUCAGAGUCAGGAAUUAUACCGUAUUUUGUGGAUUGCACAAUAUUUAUCAACGCCAGAGUUGGAAAUAUUCAUAGUUCACUGGCGCCAGAGUCAGGGAUUAUACCGUAUUUUGUGGAUUGCACAAUAUUUACCAACUCCAGAGUUGGAAAUAUUCAUAGUUCACUGGCGUCAGAGUCAGAAAUUAUACCGUAUUUUGUGGAUUGCACAAUAUUUACCAACGCCAGAGUUGGAAAUAUUCAUAGGUAAAUAUUCAAUGAUGUCAGAGUUGGGGAUAUUAUAGGAUGACCAUAAGAACAGAACACAAACAAACCUUUAGCAAUUUUAGACAAAAUCAGCAAUGCAGCCUGCCUCAGGCAGGACGCUUAAGGGGUGAUAGCAUCUUCCCUUUCGCGUAACCAAUCCCGGAUCAUAAAAUCUCUAUUGACCAGUUAGGGUUCCUAGUGACCAUAAUACUAGGUGGUGACUCCUUAAACAAGACCUUUCCCCCUAAAAGAACAAGAUGUCAGAUAUCUGUUCUUAUUCCAUUUGUGAUUAAUUUUUAAUCAGUCGUCGCGAUGUCCGGGUGUGACAUUACUGUCAGUUCUAUUUAUGUGCUUGAUAAAGUUAAUUAAUUUAGUUAUAUAAUUAUCUUUAUCCUAUAUAUUUAUUAGUUUGUAUACAUGAAGUAUAUCUUAAUCACGUCACAUUAAAUCAAACGUUAGCAUUUAUAUGCCAACAUUAAUAGUGAUAAAGUUAAUUAAUUCGAAGCUUUUACAUACAAAAUAUACUUUGAAAAUCACUUUAUAAAUCUCAUAAUGGUAAUAUCACAUUAAUAGUGAAAGAUCUACGUACUCAACCAUGCAUGAUGUCAAAAGUUUUCCUUGACGAACAUGCCACGUCACUUUUUCAUUUACUUAGCUAAUCUAUUUCCAUAAGAAGCAAAAGAUUCUGUAUAAAAUUUUUCUAUAAAUACAUUUUGUAUUUUAAUUUUUUGUUUUAAAAGUGUUUUUAAAAGAAAUUAAAAUUUUUUAAUUUUUUUAAAAGAACUUUUUAUAUUUUUAUAUUGUUGAAUAUGCUGAUUUUAAAAAUAAAUUCUAAAAAUUAAAAAAUAUAUUAUUUAAAUAUAUUUUGAAAAAACAACUGUAUUUUUGCAGGAAAAACACCUAUAAAUUAACAUUUUUAGCCCGUGACGGUGACAUGCAGUUCUACCCAUGACGGUGGCGGGGAGUCCUGCCAAUUGUACAUGUCGGAUCCUUCUUGCCCGUGACGGUGACGGGCAAUCUCGCCGGUCAUUUCAGUAUGGCCCCAGGUGAAAACAUUUGGCUUUUUUUAAUUACAGAAAAUUUAACCAUGUAUAUAUUUAUUUAUAUUUGCGUUCAUGUGCUAAAUUCUUGAAGAACUCAAUGGAUGCUGAAAUUAAAGAUUCUUGGCGUUACAAAUUUUCACUUGAAAGUGCAAAACUAUAAAAUCCUCCAUUGCUUUUGAAUUACAAAUCGUAACCAAUAUUUUCCAAAACCAAACCUCAAUUAAAAAAUUAAAAUGAAAUGAGUUUAUUUUUUUAAAAAAGUAUUUUUUAUUUAAAAAUAUAUCAAAAUUUAUUUUUAAAAUUUUUAUUUUAUUUUUAAUAUCAACACAUUAAAACAAUAAAAAAAUACUAAAAAAAAAUAUUAAUUUAAUACUUUUCAAGUUAAAUAUAAUUUUAAAAUAUACCCAAAUACAAUUUCAACCACAAUAUCCAACCGUCACAAACCCCUUAACUUAACCUAGAAAUUUUUUAGCAGUUAAUUAUUCUAAAAUAAUAUAUAUUAACUGAUUGAUCCUCACACUAAUAUGAAAUAUGAAUAUCUAUUGCUUUGGGCCACUCAUUUUAAAAAACAAAUAGCAAGCAGGGGUAGCAGUUUGAGAAUAGUAGGGAAGGAGGUUCUCUUUUGUAUCGGUUGAAAGUAGUGUAUAAUGAUUAUUUUUUAAUUUUUUUUUUUAAAAUAUUUUAAAAUAAUAUUUUUUUAUUUUUUAAAAUUUAUUUUUAAUAUUAAUAUUUCAAAAAAAACUGAAAACAUAAAAAAAUUAGUUUAAAGUAAAAAAAUAAAAAAAUAAUUUAUUUUAAAAAUAUAAAAAACUAGCUUUUAAUAAUUAAAAUUAGUGUUGUGCCCGCGUGAUAUGCUGCGGGAUGAAUUAAAAUGUUAUUUUCAAUGCUAAAAGGGAUGUAGUCGUCAAUAACAUAUUUUCACCCAUUUAUCAUUUGACAUGUAUUCUUAGGUAGCAUAGAUUUAAAAUUAAAUAUUUUUAAUUGAAGGAAAGUUUUUUCAUUAAAGAUUCUGAUAAGCUGAUGUACAAGAAAUAAAUAUUUCAGAGAAGAAAAAUGUCAAAAUAUUAUGAUUUAUUAUUUAUUUAAUUAUAUAAUAAAAAAAAUAAACAUGUGCAUGAGAGAUAAAUAAUAAAAUAAGAAAAACAUGAAGAACUACAUAAAAGAAGAGCUUGUUUAUGUUAUAAAUAAAUGCCACAAUCUUAAUAAAAAUAGAGUAAAAACCAAACAUUAUAUGAAAAAAUAAUAUCCUGAAUAUGUUUUUAGUAGUUUAAUUCUAAGGAAUUUAAAUUUAAAUUGAGGGAAAAAAAACUUCUUAACAAAAUAAAACUUAUGAUGUUAGUUGUUACACCAACAUUAAACAUGCUCGAAAACAACUUCUUUUUCAAAGCAUGCAAUUAUAUGGAACCAAAUUAAUUUAUAAUUUUUUUAUUUAAAAAAAAUAAUUAAAAAUUUGUAUUAAUAUACUGAUAUCAAAAAUAAUUUUUUUUUUAAAAAAAAUAUUUUAAUAUAUUUCUUACUAAAAAAUACUUUAAACUAUUAUCGCUAUUAUAAUUCCAAACAGUUAAUCAAGCUGAUUGUUAUAUUACUCCUCAUGGAACCAAAUCAAUCCAUAACUUACGAGAUUUAUUGCAACUCUUGCUUACUUUUGUAUUCCAUAACCUAUGCUUGCUUUCAAAUGUGUGUGUGUGUGUGUGUGUGUGUGUCAAAGGCUCUCCCUGUGAUUUUCAACUUUCCUUUCACUCUUAAUUUACAAACAUGUUUGUCGUUCAGAGUAAGUAUCUCAGCUCACUAUUUUCGAGUUCUGGUUCUGCAUAACAGAGGAGCAUGAGAUUCUUAACGCCAGCGUCCAACGUUAACCGAGCAUAGAUAAUUGGGUUUCCGGGACAAAUGAAACGACAAGUCGACGUCAAAAAAUUGUGCUAAUAAAUUUUGCUCUUCUUUUUUAAAUCCUUUUCCUUCAGAAGAUUUGAGGAACGACUUGGUAGAGUGAUGCUUGGAGGAGCAAUAUAAUUCUUUUUUAAAUCCUUCUCCGUCAUAGAUCUAAGACAUGGAGAAAUUAAAAUUAAUACUUGAAUCCAAGGUUGUUAAAAAUGUUUUUUUAACACCAUACGAAAUAUAUAAUAUAAACUCGGAUGGUAAAAUUAUAAAUAAAAUAUUUUAACUAAUUAUAUAUUAACAAUUCCAAUCAAGUAGUAAAUAAUAAUAUAACACAAUUAAAAUAAAAGUGAAAUAAACAAUACAAAUAUUCAAACAUCUUAAAAUACAUGAUUCAAAUAAAAAUUCAUACAUGGUUUAAAUAACUUAACAAUACAAUAUAACACAAUUAUGUCCAUAGAAUUUCAUUAACAAACCUAAAACAAACAAUUUGUUGGUGUGUCUUGUAACUAAACACAACCUCAUUACCUUUAUUUUCCUCAUGAUUCCUAAAAUAUUCAUUAAAAUAAUUACUAUCUAAAAAAUUAUUAUUACUACUACUAAUAUCAGCAUCGAUAUUGUGAACAUUAAUGCUACUACUACUAAUAUAAAAAAUUGAUGAUGAUCUAUCUCUUCUUUUAUUUUCUAUAAAACACUUAUUUAUAUUUAAAUUCAACUUGAUUUUACCGGUCAAUCCAAUAACUUAUUUAUUCAUAUCAUAAUUUAUAUCAAGUCUUAUAUUAAAUUAGAUGAGAGUUAAUUAUAUAUUAGCCAAAAUAAAUAAAAAAUUUAGGAUACCGAAUGUUGAAAUGACAUUUAAAGAAUUAAAUUAAAUCAUCAUAAUUAAUAAUUAUUUUUUUAAAAUAAAACUAUAUAAAUUGAAGGCGAAGUGGCCUUGGUAUAAAAGGAAAGCAAAACAUAAGGCCUCACUGUUUUCAGCCUUUUUCUUACCAAAAUAUCCUCUUCUUCAUUUCCUUUCUCUAACCCCUCUCUCUCUCCCUCCCUCUCUCUCUCUCUCUCAUUUGGGAUCCAAAUAAUAAGAAUUGGCUCCUCCCAGAAGGCGAAUGGUACAACGGGAAAACCCUGCGUAGCAAAGCCAAGCUUGGAAAAACCACCUAAAGCUAAGACUGCUUUUUGGGUGUUGCUCUUGAGAGAGAGAUUAACAUAGUGUGGAAGACUGGAAGUUGUGGUGUUGCUACGGCAAAAGAGGAAGGGGAAAGGGGAGCAGGGACUCGGGAGGGACUCAAGGAGAAUACAGUACACUGUAUUUUGUAAAUUGUAACUUUUGUUAAACUCGUAAACUCGUUCUGAGUUGACCGAGUUAAUCGAGUUUAACCGAGUUUGACCGAGUUAGCUCAUUUUCAAGUUUUGAAUCCAAUUCUACAUGUUAUAUAUGAGUUGACUCGUAAAAUCAUACGAUUUUAUGAGUCAACUCGCGAGUUUAAUAACAUUGCAUGGGUCCUUGAGGUCAAGUUUCCCAGCUGUCUCCCUUGAUUGGUGUUGCAAGGGGCGGAGCUAGAAUUAUUUAUUAGAAGGGUUAAAAUUAAUAUAAUAAAAUAUAAUAUUUAUUUUAAUUUAUUGUACAUGAGUUGUAAAACAAAAUCUGUAUAAUUUAGUUUUAUUCAAAUAACUUACUACAAACAUAUAAUGACCUUAUUAUAAUGUAAAAGGUUUGGAGCAAUACCAAAUUGAGUCAAAGUAAUGAAGUUAAUUUCAUCUUCAAUAUAUCCAUCACUUUAAUGUUGUUAGUCUUUAUAUCUAUCAAAUAUAAACAUACAAAGUAUAUAAGAAACAUUAGCUAAAGCGAAGCAUUAUUUAUGUUUGAUAAACUUUGAAAUAAAAUAAAAAAUAAUAAAGAAUAAUUCUUAUAUAUUUAUUUUAAUUGUGCUUGUCGUUCUUUCAUAAAAUAGAAAUCAUCGAUUAUCAUAUCAAUUGUGAAUCUUUCAACAAUUGCUUUUUCUAUAUAGACAAUCAAAUAGUUUACAAGAAAAUCAUCCUCCAUCCGAUUGUGAAAUCUUGUUUUAACAAUCUUUAUCGCUGAAAAAGCUCAUUUAGUAGUUGUUGUCGAAACAUGAAGAGUCAAAAUAAGUCGAAUCAACCUGUCAACUAGCGGAUAAAUUGUUGAUUUUUCUGUUUCAACCAAUCUUCGACAUAAAUCAACAAUCAAUGACAUGUUCUUUAACUUUGGAUGAUUGGGUACAUGAUUGGAUGACAUGUUCUAAAAUCAAAACUUAUAUCAUGAGAAAAAAUUGAUAAUUUUGAUGGCUUUGCUUAAAACAAAACAUAAAAAAAAUCUAAGUAUAAUCAAAACAAAACAAUAAAAUAUAUCUAAUUAAUUAGAAAAAAAUCACCAUAACAAGAAUUCAAAAAACAAUUGGUAGAACUGGCAGAUUUGAGGAAAAAAAUUAGCAAAAAUGGUAGAAUUAUAUAAAAAAACCUCAUCAAAUUAUUAACAAACAUCUCAAAAUAAAACAAAAAUAGAUUUUAAAUUUAGGUUACCUUAUUUUAUUUGAUGAAAGAUAAAUUAAUUGGUAACUCUGCUUCAAUUUUUUUGUAGAAAAAUUUUACUCAUAAUUUGUGUUUUUAUCGGCUGCAAGAUUUAUAUUAGGGCUACACAAGAUAAUGACUUUAUAUUUUUUUUAAGAGUAAAUAAAAAAUCAAAAGUAAAGUUACAUUUAAUUACUGGUAAUAAGAACACCUGUUUAAAAUAAAAAAAUUCUAUUAAUUAAAUUUUGUAAAAAUAAAGUAAAAUUAUUAUAAAUAACUUGGAAAAUAAUUUAUGUGUGUAUCUUGUUCAAUGAAAGGAACCAUACAUGAAAUGCAACCACCUAGAAGACAGAACAAGCACAAAAAUAAAAUUUAAAAGGAAAACCUGUUUGGCAAGAUUACAAGCACGAUCUAUCUUGGGGGCCCCGGGCCCUGCUCCCCCCUGCCUGCACUGCUGCCUCUACAAAUUCCCGUGGGCUUCCUAUUAAUUAGAUCGAUCUAUUGAAGAACUCCACUCUCCUGUCAUUGCUCGUGACGUAGACCUCUGACGAAAGGUUGAAUGAAGACAAAAAAUGAGCUAGAAAUGCGUGGAAAGUUUAAAGUGUUUUGAUAUUAAAACUUACUAUUAAUAUUUUAUGGAUGUCCACUUGAAGAUAAUUAAUAUAGUCUUAAUUCUUCACUUGAUAAUAUCUUAAUCCUAUUAAUUAAAAUAAAGUCUUAACACCGACUGUAAAUAUAAUAAUAUAAUUAAUUUAAUAUUGCAAGGAGGAAGGCUUCCAUUAUUUUGCGUUUCUUUCUUUGUUUUUUCCUUUGAACCCUACGUGCUCUCUUAUUCUCUCCUUCACGCAAUUAAAAGGAAUUUUGACCAAAAAAAUAUAUAUAUUCCUCGUUACUUUGAAUGAUUAGAAUUCUUGAGAAUAUUGAUUUUAAUUAGUUUAAAAAAAAUAUGAGAUGAAGAUUUUGACAAAAAAAAUAUUUUUUUAAUAAAAUUUAAAUAAUUCAAACUCUUUUAAAUAUUUAUUUUAAAAAUUAAUUAUAAAAACGGUCGAGCUGCCUUUGUCUAUUUUCUCUAUUCUAAUAUUUAAUGCAUCCAUAUUAUCGUUAAUUUAAAUAACUCUUAAUUUUCAGUAUGCAUUUAACACAUUUCUGUAUGCAUUUAUCUUUUGUUUUUUUAUUAGAAAAACCAACUUUUUAAUUUUAACAUCCAUAAUAAUUUUAUCGGUUUAACUGUUUAUAUACUUUUAACUUUAUUGUAUUAAACACAAAAAUUAUCUUUUUAUUAAUGAUUAACAAAUUUAUUUAUACAUAUCGGUUCCUUAAUCGUGGAGCGCUGAUAAAAUAUAAUAUAAUUAAUAUAAUAUUGUUAUUAAUAUAAUAUAAUGAUUAACAUUUUGAAGUUUUUGGGAACGCGGUUUGCACCGCGUUCCCAAACGGUUUCUCCAGCUUCCACGAGUUAUCAUGCAAUUCAGUGGCUUAUUAGCAUUCUACUACCAUCAUUCUCUCUCACAGAAUCACCCUCACCCUCUCGCAAAAAUCCACCAAGGCUCCUGCUUUCCACUUCUCUUUUUCUCUCACGUAUUCCCACCCUCACCCUUUCUGCAAAAAUCCACCAUGGCUCUGGAGUUGAUCGGAGGAUCAUUUCUCUCUCCUGUCAUUCAGGUUUUGGUCGACAGGUUGGCCUCUCGUCAGGUUCUGGGCUUCUUCAAAAGCCAAAAACUCGACGAUGGUCUUCUGGAAAAGCUGAAUGAAACACUGAAUACUGUCAACGGACUACUCGACGAUGCGGAGGAGAAGCAGAUUACAAAUCGUGCUGUGAAGAACUGGCUUAAUGAUGUUAAACAUGCUGUCUAUGAAGCCGAGGACAUAUUGGAGGAGAUUGAUUAUGAAUAUCUACGAUCCAAGGACAUUGAUGCCCCUCGACCUGACAGCAAUUGGGUAAGCAUAGUUCUUGCACUUGUAGACCUUGCUUCCUCAUAAAAUGUCUGUAAAUGAGGAAAAGAUAAUUUUAGGCAUGACUGUUGUCUUUCUGUGAGUUUUAAUUAAAGAGUAUUCAUUGUAUAUUAUAUAUGCAACUAAUAUUAUUGGCUUUUCGUGUGUGUGCUGAAAUUACGCUUGCAAAUUCUCAUUUAUUAACUAGUUUUCUAAACAUUGGCUUUGGAUUUUUAAAAUCUGAAUUAUUUAUAUAAAUUUUGUCAAUUUUAAUUAAAUUAUAUUUUUAUUUGAGACAAAAAUUAAUUUCAUUAUAUUUAUAAAAAUAAUAUAAUAUGAUAUGAUAAGGGCUGUGAAAAUCACUAAUGACAUUUAAUCAAUAUCUUUUUAAAACUUGAAUUUUACAAUUGUAAAUUCUUGAAAAGAUCUGUAGAAAGAAAAUGUUUAUAUUAAGUUAGCAUCAACGAUUUAAUGGCGUUAACUUAUUGCAGGUAAGGAAUCUGGUUCCACUUCUAAAUCCAGCUAAUAGAAGGAUGAAAGGGAUGGAAGCAGAGUUACAAAGGAUCCUUGAGAAGCUUGAACGUUUACUUAAACGAAAAGGUGAUCUGCGCCACAUAGAAGGUACUGGUGGAUGGAGACCAUUGUCAGAGAAAACAACUCCACUGGUUAAUGAAUCUCAUGUAUAUGGAAGGGACGCUGAUAAGGAAGCCAUAAUGGAGUACUUGUUGACAAAAAACAAUAUAAAUGGCGCAAAUGUAGGUGUGAUUCCUAUUGUGGGCAUGGGAGGGGUUGGUAAAACCACUCUUGCUCAGCUUAUCUACAAAGACAGAAGGGUAGAGGAGUGCUUCGAGCUCAAAGCCUGGGUCUGGACUUCUCAACAAUUUGAUGUUGCCAGGAUUAUUAAGGAUAUUAUUAAGAAGAUCAAAGCAAGGACUUGCCCCACCAAAGAACCAGACGAAUCUCUAAUGGAGGCAGUGAAAGGGAAAAAACUUCUACUUGUUCUAGAUGACGCGUGGAACAUCGAGUACAAUGAAUGGGAUAAAUUACUGCUACCUUUGCGGUAUGUGGAGCACGGAAGUAAGAUUGUCGUGACGACACGGGAUGAAGAUGUAGCAAAAGUCACGCAAACUGUCAUCCCCUCUCACCGCUUGAAUGUAAUAAGCGAUGAAGAUUGCUGGAAGUUGUUUGCAAGGGAUGCAUUUAGUGGUGUAAAUUCUGGAGCAGUCUCACACUUGGAAGCAUUUGGCAGAGAAAUAGUGAGAAAGUGCAAAGGUUUGCCGCUGGCAGCGAAAACUCUUGGGGGUCUUUUGCACUCCGUGGGAGAUGUCAAGCAAUGGGAGAAGAUAUCCAAGAGCAGGAUGUGGGGUUUGUCGAAUGAAAACAUCCCUCCAGCUCUAACAUUGAGCUAUUAUUAUCUCCCUUCACACCUCAAACGUUGUUUUGCUUAUUGUGCAAUAUUUUCCAAGGGUUAUAAAUUCGAGAAGGAUGGAUUAAUCACUGAAUGGAUGGCACAAGGUUUUUUAGUUCAGUCCAGAGGCGUCGAGGAGAUGGAAGAUAUAGGUGAAAAAUACUUUGAUGAUCUUGUCUCCAGGUCAUUUUUCCAGCAAUCACUUUAUGCUCAAUCAGAUUUCAGCAUGCAUGACAUCAUAAGUGAUUUAGCUGAAUACGCGUCAGGAGAAUUUUGCUUUAAGCUUGGUAUUAAUGAAUCGGGCUCUGGGUUCGAGGGUGAACAUUCAUGCACGCUUCCAGAAAGGACUCGUUAUUUAUCAAUCACUUCAGCGGAAGCAUAUGACGAAGGACCUUGGAUAUUUCGUAGUAUUCAUGGAGUCCAACAUUUGCGCGCCUUGUUUCCGCAGAAUAUUUUUGGGGAAGUUGAUACUGAGGCACCGAAUGACAUCUUGCCAAAUUCUAAGCGUUUGCGAAUGAUAUCUUUAUGUCAUCUAGAACAUAUUUCUUCUCAGUUGCUCAAUUCCAUUGGCAACUUAAAACAUUUGCGGCACCUGGACCUUUCUCAGACAUUAAUUAAACGGUUGCCCGAAAGUGUGUGCACCUUGUACUAUUUGCAAACUUUAUUGUUAACAGAAUGUCAACAUCUCAUUGAGUUGCCAGCCAACAUUUCCAACUUGGUCGACUUACAACAUCUUGAUAUUGAAGGGACAAAUUUGAAAGGGAUGCCACCAAAAAUGGGGAAACUCACAAAGCUUCGAACUUUGCAAUAUUACGUCGUGGGAAAAGAGAGUGGGUCUGGUAUGAAAGAGCUGGGGAAGCUCUCUCAUAUAAGGAAAGAACUUUCUAUUCGGAAUCUCAGAGAUGUUGCAAAUACUCAAGAUGCUUUGGAUGCCAAUUUGAAGGGUAAGAAGAAGAUUGAGGAGUUGAGGUUGAUAUGGGAUGGCAAUACGGAUGACACACAACACGAGAGAGAAGUACUUGAGAGAUUGGAGCCUUCUGAAAAUGUGAAACAGCUUGUCAUUACUGGUUACGGGGGUACAAGGCUUCCAGGCUGGCUUGGAAAGUCUUCCUUCUCAAAUAUGGUAGCGUUGACACUUUCUGGAUGUAAGAACUGCAUCCGCUUACCAUCAUUGGGGCAGCUGCCAUCUUUAGAAGAGCUCCAAAUUGAAGGAUUUGAUGGAGUCGUGGAAGUCAGCUCUGAGUUCUAUGGAAGUGACUCUUCGAUGGAGAAGCCAUUUAAAUCCCUCAAAAAAUUAAAGUUUGAGGGGAUGAAAAAUUGGCAGAAAUGGAAUACAGAUGUAGAUGGUGCUUUCCCUCAUCUUGCAGAGCUCUGCAUAAGACAUUGCCCCAAGUUAACAAAUGCCUUGCCUAGUCACCUUCGUUGUUUAUUGAAACUUUUUAUUCGAGAAUGUCCGCAGCCUGUAUCUGAGGGCGAUGAAAGUCGUAUAAUUGGGAUAUCAGAAACAUCCAGUCACAGGCGGUGCCUUCAUUUUAGACGAGAUCCCCAGCUAAAGGGAAUGGAGCAAAUGAGUCAUUUGGGUCCCUCUUCUUGUUUCACUGAUAUCAAAAUCGAGGGAUGUAGUUCAUUUAAGUGCUGCCAGCUAGACCUUUUACCCCAGGUAUCCACACUUACCAUUGAACAUUGUCUCAAUCUCGAUUCCCUUUGUAUAGGCGAGAGACCUCUCGCUGCUCUCUGUCAUCUGACAAUCAGUCACUGUCGUAAUUUGGUGUCUUUCCCCAAAGGAGGACUAGCUGCCCCAGAUUUGACAAGCCUUGUGUUAGAGGGUUGCUCAUCUUUGAAGUCGUUGCCGGAAAACAUGCAUUCCCUCCUCCCUUCCCUACAGAAUUUGCAAUUGAUCUCACUUCCAGAAGUUGAUUCGUUUCCUGAAGGAGGUUUACCCUCCAAUUUAAACACACUUUGGAUUGUGGAUUGUAUCAAACUCAAGGUUUGUGGUUUGCAAGCACUCCCUUCUCUUUCAUACUUCAGAUUUACUGGGAACGAGGUGGAGUCUUUUGACGAGGAGACGUUGCCCUCUACUCUUACAACCCUUGAAAUCAAUCGUCUGGAAAACCUAAAAUCUCUAGACUAUAAGGAGCUUCAUCACCUCACAUCUCUUCAGAAAUUGAGUAUCGAGGGAUGCCCUAAGCUUGAGUCCAUAUCAGAGCAAGCGCUUCCCUCCUCCCUUGAAUUCCUUUAUCUCAGAAAUCUGGAAUCUCUGGACUACAUGGGGCUUCAUCACCUCACCUCUCUUUACACAUUGAAGAUCAAGAGUUGCCCUAAACUUAAGUUCAUAUCAGAACAGAUGCUGCGCUCCUCCCAUGAAUACCAGGGGCUUCAUCACCUCAUCUCUCUUAGAAAUUUGAGGAUCGAGAGUUUCCCUAAACUUGAGUCCAUAUCAGAACUGGCGCUGCCCUCCUCCCUUGAAUACCUUCAUCUCUGUAAACUGGAAUCUCUGGACUACAUUGGGCUUCAGCACCUCACCUCUCUUCACAGAUUGAAGAUUGAGAGUUGUCCUAAACUUGAAUCGUUGCUAGGGCUGCCUUCCUCCCUUGAAUUCCUUCAGUUAUUGGAUCAGC